rnacentral:lncRNA from 1 species
UUGUCAAUUGUAGACCACCAAUGAUAGAUACCAUUAGCUAGGUAGUAACCCUUGUUGUCUUGGUGACCAUUGAUCUCAAAGUUAACCUCUGGGGACUUGCCGUCUGAAAGCCUCGUGAACACCGGAGAGCGUUGAAGGACGUUGAUGUCAUUAUGAGAACCUGCCAUGCCCAAAAAAGAGUGCCAAAUCCAGAGAUUUUGUGAUACCCCGGCUUCAAGUAUGACCGUGCAAGCUUUAACAUCUCCAUUGUAUUGCCCAUGCCAAAUAAAUGAAUAGUUCUUCUACUUACAGUGCAUACAAUCUGUGCUUUCAAGCAUUCUCAGAAAGUCUCUCGAUUCAUUGAUCGCUAAAAAUAGGGUUGUAACCGCAACAUUUGGUUCUCUUAAGUACUUUGGGCCAAACACUGCAACCGCAGCUUUGCAGAACUAGUACAAUCACGCAAGGCAUGUGGACUUGCUCAUGCGGAUAUACUCAUCCUCCCCAAGAUCACUGGAAUUCCAUAUGUAAGCAUACGAACAUCUGCGAUACAUUUUUGAUAAGAGGAGAAGCCAACCUUUCCAAGGGAAUCAUACUUGCAUUGGAAGUAAUCAUCAUACACCACCACUCCCUCCUGAGUACAGUUGAACACAUGCCUCGCCAUCCAAAAGAGUUGCUGGAAAAGGUUGGGAGGGAAUAGUGGGUCAUUGAGCUGGAAAUAAUCGCUAUAGAGUAGACAAUGGUCGCUCUCUCUGUUAUGACUCAACCCCGGGGCAUGGCCCGGGAUCAAUCCACUAAACCUUGGCCACUGCCUAGCAAUGUGCUCAUUAACGACCAAAGUAGCUAUCACAGAAUCAUCAUCAUCGUCGGACGAUUAACAUAUGAAGUUGUUGUAAAAAAAACUCAUCCGAGCUGUCCACUAUGAUGAAACCGUACCUCGGUUGAGUCGGACAAACAGCCGAACACCUUGCGAGCGACCGGUGAAUGGAUCCCUCCUUGGCCUGUCCACAAAGACGGAGGCAACAGGACUGUCAACCCCUGCUUCCUCCGGCGAUGACCUUGGGGGUAGCAGUGGGCUGCCGGAGGUGGCCGAGGAGGAGGCAGGCCGUAGAUGCGGCGUGCACAACGACGACAAAAGUGGGUGGUGAUGGAUGUGGCAAAAGGUGGUUCCAUUGGUGGAUGUGACAACGAGGGUGGGGCCGUGGCACACAUGCCAGAAGUGGGCGGCGGCGGGGGGGUAGGGGGGUGGUGUGGUGCUGGUUGGGGGUGGGGGAGAAUGGUCUGUGUGCCACAGACGAGCAGGCCAGGGGGACAAGGGAAGGACGCCACGGGCAUCCACUCUGUGUCCACAAGGACACAAACCCGACCAAAAUUUGGGCCGAAAAUGAGUCCAAACGGACAUCAUCCGUUUGCGUCGGCGUGUUGGACUGCGUUUUUUGUCUCAUACUUGUUUUGGACGAUAGAGCAAGUGGCAUUUCAUACAUGUUCAUCAUACUUGUUGUUGGUGUUCGAAGUGCUAACUUGCUUUGUUUUCAUGUAGUACCAAAUUGCACAAAACUUGUUCAAAGAAGAGGAGAGGAAAACUUAGAAGGGGAAGAUCAAGAAAGGAAGGGUCUUUACCUUGCCUCAUUGCUAUAACGUGUUGAAGGAUGAUGAGAAAUGGAAGAAGCGUGAAGAUUUGGAUGAUUUGCAUUUGAGCAACAAACGCAAGCGCACAAUUGAGUUGAAUGAUGAUGAUGAGGAGGAGGAGGAUGCAUCAAGUGAUGACGGCAAGAGAAGCCCCACACACAACUCGGUUUCAUACUCGAAGCCAAAACGACCGGAUGGGUGCAAGAAAGACAAAACAGAAAAGAAGAAGAGGAAAGGAGAUGAUGAGCUAAAAAUGCUAUGGAAGCUAUUGUGAAGGCAAGAAAAGAAGCCAACGAGGUGAGGAAAAUGGCAAGGAACCAAGAUGCCGCGGCCGAGGAGAGGAGGUUGGCGGCCGAGGAGAGGAGGGUGGCGGCCGAGGAGAGGAAGGUGGCUUUGGAGGAGAGGAAGGUGAGCAAUGAGGAGCGAACAAGAUUGUUGGAAUGGGAGAAGCACUUGUUCUUCUUGGACACAUCUAACCUCAAUGAGGCGCAAAAGGAGUUUGUCAAUCUUUCCCGUGAAGAAGUCUUGAUCCAAAAACGAGCCAUGAUUCGCGCAAUGGGUGGCGGUGGCCUUGGCGGCAUGGGUGGCGGUGGCCUUGGCGCCAUGGGAGGCAUGGGUGGCUUCGGAGGUACCGUGGGCGGCUUAGAUGCCAUGGGUGGCUUUGGAGCUACCAUUGAAGGCAUGGGUGGCAUGAGUGCUUUUGGAGCACCCCCCGGCGCAAUGGCUGCCAUGGGAGGCAUGAGUUUUGCUUCUCUCAUGGGAGGCAUGGGUCCACCUCCGGCCGCCAUGGGCGGAAUGUCUUCCGGUGUGCCUCCUCACACACAUUCUCAUGAAGAUGCCGUUGAAGAUCUUGCCAACACCGUCGGAGCUUCACGUGAUGCGGUGCGCGAUGAGGAGGAGGAAGAAUCAUCUUCGGAGGAGGAAGAAUCGUCUUCCGAAGAUGAGGACGAAGACGAGGACGAGGCUUGAUGUGUCUUUCGUUUGUGUCAUGAUCUUGAUUUGCAUUUUGAACUUGGUUGGAUGAACUUGUGGGCAUGAACUUUUAUUUAUCAACUUGUUUGUGUGAAAUUUAUAUGUCAUGUUCAUUGCGUUUUGAAUGUUUGAAAUCCAUUUAUGUCCAAAAUGCAAUAUAUGCAAUGCCCGGCGAGUCGCGCGUGCGCUGCAUUUUUGCGCGGCUGUUGGAGCCAGCGCUGCAGGCCGCGCAAAACCAGGCGAAGCGCGCGCGGCGCGUUGGGCGGCUGUUAGAGAUGCUCUAAGUUACUACCCAUUGUGGCUAGUCUAACGAAAGUGAUGUUUGGUCACUUCGAGCGCUUGCCAAAUAUCCCCUUUUCUCAUGUAUACGGGUGAAAUAAUUAAGGGAACUGUUUGGGGACGGCGCACCGGCCGAACGCUCAGCCGGUCGCGGCCACGCGAGCAAGCGGUCCUCCUACCUCCGAGCGACACGUAUGUAUAGGGCCCACAUCCCAAUCGUUGCCUUAUCUUCUCUUUCAUCUUCUCAACCGCUCGUUCCUUUCUUAUCUGUUCUCUCUCUUCCACGCCGGCGAGUCCGCUCCCUUCAUCCAAUUUUCAGCUCGACGCCGGCAAGCCGGCCGCGCGUCCCCGCAGCACCGCCGUGGCAUCCGUUCCGUCCAUCCCAUCUGGCUCCACUCCGACGACGGCGACCUCCGCAGCCGCUGCAACCAAGCUAGACUGGCGAGGCUGCUUCCGUCGUCAUCGCCAUGGCUAGCAACCACCCCAAGAUGCCCCAGGCUGGCUCCGUCGGCCCUACUCCGGCGAGCGCCACCCUCCCCCUAUGCUGGAACUGCCCUCCUCCUAGUCCUAUGGUUGCAUCCCCGAGGAGCAGACGCCGAAGCUGGAACCAGCCACUUUUUUUAUACAAUCGACCAAAGCAAAAGCUGGAACCGCAGUUGGUUUUUGCUUCAACCAACAAGCGAGUUGGAACCACAGCUGGUUUUUGCUACAACUGCAUCGCAUUUUCGCUACAGCCGGCGUUAUGGAAAGCUACAACCGAUGCGGUGAAAAGCUUCAACCAGCGGGGACAGAUGCUGGAACCAACCACUACCACGACAAAAUGCUACAUCCGGUAUCGCACAAAGCUUCAACCGGUGUUGGAAAAAGCUUCAAACACUGAAUGCCAAUGCUACGGGCUGGCUACUGCCAACAGGGAAAAAGCUUCAAGGUGUCGCAAAAAGCUUCAACCGUAGCCGAUUUUUGCUACCACCGGCAAAGCUUUUUGCUACAUCCAUCAGGCAGAGCUGCGAUCUCGUGAGGACGACAAUGAUGUUUUUGCUGCAACCGCAGCAGGAUUUUGCUACUACCGUUAGAGUUUUUUGAUACAUCCAUGUAAGGCGGACCUGCGACCUCGCGAAGGCGUUUUUGCUGCACCCGUAGUUUGAUUUUGCUACUACCGGUGAAUUUUUUUGCUACAUCCACUCAAAUGGCGUUGAUUGACUCGCGGCCGGCGUCGACGUAUUUUCCUGCAGCGAGCAUCAAUGGCGAGGGCGGCGGAGCUACAACCGUCGUCGUCAAGAGCUGCAACCGCAUGUGGAGCUGUUGCAUGGGUCGAGGCGACAACGAGCCAGGAGGGUGGCGGGCCGGCGACGAGGACGGCCAGUGAGGGCGGGGUCCGGCCAGCGACAAGGAAGACCGACGAGGGUGGGGACUGACGACGGGGACGACCACCGGAGGGGACAGGAGGCGCGGUGCCGUGCUCCCCGAGCGGGAGAUGCGGAUCCAGGCCGACUGCCCAAGGAAGAAGUUGGGGGCGAUCUGUUUUUUUUUUUGCCUGGAUCCAACGGCUGCGUGGCUCACAUCCGAUGGCCUGGGCUAGACCGGCCGAAAUGCUCGGCCGGUGCGCCGGCGCCUAUAAGCGCCCAAUAAUUAAUGAUGUAUAUGGGGCCAAGUGCAAUUAAGACUUUCGUUUUUCCCUUAAAAAAAAGACUUUGGUUUUUCAUAGGCAGGCCGGCGCGCGGCACCCGCCCGUCCGCCGUCCAUCCCAUUCCCAGCCCAGCGGGCGCUCUCUCUCUCUGUCCCUCGCUCGUUCCAGUACGCCCCAGCGGGUGCGAGCGCUGCGACCAGCGUCGCGCCGCCGCCGCAACCUCCGGCGGCUGCCCCGCUAUGGAUCCGGCGGUGGUCGGCGACGGUGGUCGGCGACGGCCGUGGGAGGCCGAUGCGGCGGCGAGGCAUCUCGCGUCUUCCCCGCCUACUCGUCCGAAGGUGCCCGCGAUUCCCCUUACUCGAAUCGAUCCAUCAAGCGAGGUUAGCUCCGGGGAAUUUUUUGUUCUUGGGGGACUGGAACUACCGCGUUGAAUCGAUUCAAAAAAGGAUUCAGUACUGAUAGCCGUUUGCUCUGCUCUGUGGAUGCUUAUGCUUAUGGUUUCAUUCAGUACUACAAAAGCUUCUGUAGUUGGAUGAAUAAUCUUAGGCCUAGGCGUCAGCCGAUUUAUUUUAGGCAAACUUAAACCGCCCCUAGAACCGUCCGAUUCAGUCGCACCCAGCCGCAGGAUCCGGCAGCUCCCAUGCCAGCACACACACAACGCUAGCCCACGGCAGCACCGCGCAUCACCGACGGCGCCCCGCGGCGCUCCAUUGCAGCCUCGGCGGCGCUUCGAUGCAACCCCGGCGAAGCUUCAAUGCCAGCACUGACGGCCUCCGGUGAGCUCCAUUGAAACCCGACGGAGCUCCAGCGCAGCAACGACGCUCCGGCGAACUCCAUUGCAACUCCAGCCGAGCUCCAUUGCAGCCCCGAUAAAGCUCCAACGGCUCCGGCUAAGCUUCAUUGCAACUCUGGCCGAGCUCCAACGCAACACUGACGCUCCGUCGAAGCUCGAUUGUAACUCCGGCCGAGCGCCAUGGAUGCUGCGUUGAAGCUUCGUCGCCGGCGAGCAGCGCCAUGGAUGCUGCAUUGAAGCACCAUCGCUGUUGAGUUGCAGCUCUGCCGCCGGCGAGUAACGCUAUAGAUGCUGCGUUGAAGCACCAUCGCUGCUGCGUUGCAGCUCUGUCGCCGGCGAGCAGCGCCAUGGAUGCUGCGUUGAAGCUUCAUCGCCGGCGAGCAGCACCACAGAUGCUGCGUUGAUGCACUGCAGCUUCGACAACCGGGGCGAGCACUGCAACGCAACACUAGUAGCCGCCGGCGAGAGCUCCCUUGCAGCCGAGCAGUACCGCCGCCGGCGAGCUCCACGGGGUCGGGGCGCUGCUUGUGCUGUAUUGUAGCUCCGCCGCUGUGGCGAGAUCCAUGGGGACACGACUUCCUCCGACGAUGGGCGGCGCCCGCUUCCGGCCUUCCCGUGUUGCGCUGCAUAGCCGGCGACGAGCGGCGCCAGGCUCCGGCCUCCUCCUUCAUGCUGCAGCGCCAUGCCUCCUCUCCCAUGCGUGACAACAAAAAGGGGUGGGAACUGGGAAGGAGUGGGGGCGAACGUGUGGACACGAAGAAGAUAAGGCUGGGGCGGUUGCGAGCCACGCGUGGGGCUGGACACGUGUCGUGCGUUCCAGGCGGUUUGCGUGGCGUGGAAAUCAGUCGGUUGAUUUCCAUCGUUUUCCAUAAUCUUAACCUACCGUGCAUCACCCCUUUAUCUCUACUUCUGUAGGCAAGCAUUACCAUUUCUACACAAAAAGCAAACAGGAACCACUGUACUUCACAAUUCACCGUUCACGAACAUGAAGUCGACGACUAAUUAGCAACCGAGGCGCCCGGUUAUGAUUCAACAUUACACUAUGCACAUUAUGUAGUCAUCCUUUUUUCUGUCUGAACAUGAGUAGAUUGUCUUCCCUUUCAUUACACGCUCUUAACCAAACGCACGUCUCUGUUUCUGUCUGAACUUUAGUGUUAAUAAAACAGGAGGAGUCCCCCUCAGCAAAGCAACGACAUCAUGCAGGAUGAUAUUAUCUGCCCUGUAGAGCAGACAUUGUCACAUCGUUAGCGCUAGGCGGCUCUUCGUCCAUUACUCUUACGUGGAAAUACGCUGGAUGCUUAGGUUCAGGCAGGGCUAUACUUUCGCUGCUUAGCAUCGUAACCACGCUUGUUGUGGUGGGUCUAUCACCUGCAUUCUCUUGCACACACAGCAAUGCGAUGUUGAUACACCUCAUUGUCUCUGAUGCAUGUGACUCUGAAACUAUUGAUUCGUCAACGAACUCAAGCCAUCUUUCUUCUUUCCACAACUUCCAUGCCUUGAAGGAGUUUAGACACAUAUUAGAUAAAGGUCAUCAGAUAAGCAGAGUAGUUUUACAAAUAGGAUACAGAAAAUACUUACAUAUCCAAGAAGGUUGAAGAAGUCCCCAUUUUUAUGGAAAGACGAGUUCCUUUUUCCAUGGAUGGUCUCGAGAAUCAGAACACCAAAGCUGAAUACAUCAGACUUGAUCGAGAAGAGGCCCUCUGAUGCAUACUCUGGAGCCAUAUACCCACUGUAAAAAUAUACAGAAAAAAGUAAACUUCUGUCUGGUAUUUGGUUAACUUGCAGUAGGAUGUACAUAAGGAAGAGCUUACUAUGUCCCAGCAACCCUUUUUGUGUUCCCUUCAAUAUCAUUUGAACUGAAUAUUUUUGCAAGCCCAAAAUCUGAUAUUUUAGGAUUCAUCUCACUGUCCAAAAGAAUGUUGCUUGCUUUAAGAUCUCUAUGUAUGACACGUAACCGGGAGUGUUUAUGCAAAUAUAGAAGUCCUUGCGCUAUUCCUUCGAUAAUUGCUUUUCGUUUAUUCCAGUUCAAUAAAGCUCUUUUAGUUUCAUCUGCAGAUUAGUUUACAAAUAUAUGUAUGUUAGAUAGAUGGGGAGGACUGGAUGGCUUUAGCAGACAGAGUUAACCCAUAUAUGAUAUGUAACAGGAUAUUACAUGAAGUAAUACCAAAGAUAAAGGAGUCCAAGCUUUUAUUUGGCAAAUAUUCAUAGAUCAAUAUUUUCUCCUCUCCUUGUGAGCAACAUCCCAACAGUCUAACCAGAUUUGUGUGCUGGAGCUUGGCUAUGAGUUGGACUUCAUUUUUGAACUCCGUGAAACCUUGCCCAGAAUGUGAAGCAAGUCUCUUAAUUGCUAUCUCCAAACCUUCUGGAAGCUGGCCCUAUGGAGGUUCAAACGAGAUUGAUUAGUGAUACAAUAUCAUCUUGUGAAAUAGAAGUGCUUUUACUUAUCUUCUGACCGGUAAUCCCCCAUGCUUCUGGGUAAAAUUAAAGCUACAUGUAUAAAAUCUACAUGGUCGUACAAAUUUAGCCAUCAAAGCAAACUUAGUUUCAUUUUGUUCUCUUUGUUUACAGGAAUAAUAAAUGUGUUCUUUUACCUUGUAUACUGGACCAAAGCCACCUUGCCCCAAUUUAUUUUCAUCUGAGAAGUUAUUUGUAGCAUUUGAUACUUCUGAAAAAUCAAAAAGCUUGAACUCUGGACUCCUUCCUAUUCCCCAGACCAGUUCUUCAUCUUCCUGUGAGCUUAGUUUACCUAAACUCAAAAGGCAGAGUUUAUCUAAUCCUUUCAGCUAAUGCUGAUGUAAAGUAUAUAUGAAUCUGAAUAGCCUAAGAGAUUUGUGAGUACAGUUGCAUUUCCGUAACAAACCUUUUACGCGCCUUUUGACCAGUCCAAGCCAAACGAUGAAGCAGAAAAAUGAUGCUAGUAGAAGCGCAACAGUGGUAAUGAUCAAAACCUUUAUUAUAUUCCCUAAAACAAAAGAUUUCACACAAACAUAGGUGGUUAUGUUUUGAGGAAUGUUUCAACAUAUAAAAUAUUGUCUUGCUUACUCUUGUGUUUAUGGCUGGGAGUCUCGUCUUUCUGCUUGGGAAGAUCAACUGGCCCUGGUGCCGGCUUGGGUGCUGGCAUGUUUGUUGUUGGAUCUACAGCACCCGACAAGGUGAUGUGCUGCAUGGGCUGACCCUCGUAGAACUGAUAUGUGCUAUACCUGAAAUUGCACCACACACCAGCAAUCCAUUCACCACGUUGCUGGUAGAAGAAACUCUUUGCCGCACUCCUGAUAUUGUCGAGGCAAUCCCAACAGUCAUUUGGCGGUAGGCCCAGGUUGCACUGCGCCAGAGAGUAGAGCAGCGGGAUUGUGCUGUAGACAUCCAUGCGGCCGGUGGCGUACAUCAUCGUCGAGUUGUAGGCUGCUUGUUUGGCUGUCUCUUGAAGCAGCACCUUGAUGUUGCCAUCAAUGCUGACAUCGGUGUACUUGGCGCUCACCUCGCUGGGGAUGUUGGGAUCCAUAUUGUGUUUUGUGGUGUCCGUAAAGACCAGCAGCCUGUUCAGCACAACAGUGGAGUCAUAGAUAAGGUCCUUCGCGGAGAUGUGGACGAUGCAAUCCUUGUAUAGAAUAUGGGCCUCCUUGUGGUUUCUGCACACCCGCCACACAUCCUGGAAUGCUGUGGUGAUGCAGCUGGGGCAGGCAUCGACGACGCCAUCACCGCGGCACACCACGACGCCGUAUAUGCGGUCUUGGUCAGUCCCGACGAAGCCCUUGGCGAGGUUGGUUCGUGUGGAUGAGGCACUACUGAAUAGCGCAGUAGAUAGGAGCUCAAGGUUCGCUUUAUAGGUGCUCUCGUUCAGGUGGGAGUCUCUGUAGUAGCAGACCUGCGUCAGUGGAUUGACGGCAGCGACGAAUGGCUCGAAGCCGAGAAUAAGCAGCAAGACGGUGAUCAUGGUUCUUGCUAACCAUAGGUAAUUCAGCUCUGCCCCUCCAGCAGCCUCCCUGUUAUAAGCAUCAUUUGGAAAACUCUUCUGUCUUAUGAUCUGACCGCUUACUUGUUUAGUGAUUAUCUGAUGAUAUCAGCCUGCAGGCCGUGCAAUCAAAUUUGGUGGAAUACAAUAGUGCAGCCGUCCAGGCAUCAGCCUGUGUAAUGGCUACAAGCAAUGCAGGAUAAGGGGAGAGAACAAUAACAAAUGCAGUUUCAGUGUUUCCGUCAAAGGAGAAGAGGUCUUCUUGUGACCUUGAGGGAGUUGAAGAUGAUUACGAUCGUUCGGUAAAGCUAAUGGACUCGGAAAUGUUUCUUAUGCUGAAAUGCUUCGAAAAUGCUCUUAAGCUUGUGUGAUGCAAAUAAAAACAAGCAACCAGCUGGCAAAUUCGGUUACCUCCCAGCCAAACGCGGUACAAAAUCUCAAAGUAGUUUGUGGAAAAUGCUUAUGAACUGGCAUAAAUUGUAGUACUAUAUGAGUAUAGCAUUGACUGAGCGACUGAGAUUUAGCAAGACAGAUAUGAGAAACAAGUCUGCAAAACAGUACACCCCAGGAAAACAAAUGUGUUUUUAAUAGAACAGUAGGUUUCCCUGGUGGAUGUUUUCCAUUUUAAUGCAAAUAAAAACAAAUGAUAAGAACGUUUUUUUGUUUAUUCACAUUUUGAUAUUCUUUUGAGGAAUCACAUGCGCAUUUCGGUGUACCAACACAACACAACACAAAAGCUAUAUUUCCCAAGCCUAUUUCUGCACAAGGUCUAUCUAACAUUGUGUGCAUCAUCAUCUGUUCUUGGAGCUCCAGUCCAUGAUGGCCGACCGGAGCGAGUGGUUGGGGAUGAGGCUCUUGCUCGGCAGCCGGAGGUUGGUCAUCGGCGACUUGUCCUUCAUGCUCACCCAUGUCUCGAUUGCCUUCCGGUCGUAGGUGUACCCGUCGGCGGCGACGCAUGGGUCCUCCAUGAUUUCCUGAAGAAUGGGACAGAGGAAGUGGCCCGGGGCCGCUGACGAUGAUGCUGUCCGGACGAGAAGGGCCUUCGUCUCCCUGGCGGCUCUGGCAGCGACGUCCUUGAUCCGCUCCAGCGCUGGGAGGAUGUGCUCGCGCAGCCCGGGCCGGUCCCUGCGCCGCAUCUCCGCGCACCGCACAGCCAGCAAGGCGAGCUCUCGCGCCUCCUCCGGCGGCCACUCCCCGGCAGUCGCGUCCAGCAUCUCCGCGAAGGAGUCGCCGCCGUCUUCCUCCAGCGCGGUCUCCACGGCGUGGGCGAGCCCGAGCGGUGACGUCCGCCCCGUGAGCAGCUGCAGCACCACCACGCCGAGAGCGUACACGUCCGACUUGGCCGACACGGCGCCCGUCCGCUGGUACUCCGGGUCGAUGUAGCAGAACGUGCCCACGGGCGUCGUGUUCCUCACCAUCGUGGACUGCUGCUGGCCUCCUCCACCUCCGGCGCCCGAGUGGUGGAGCAGCGCCGUCGAGAGGCCGACGUCGCCGACCUUGCUGGAGAGGUUCCGGUCGAGCAGGAUGUUGGCCGGCUUGAGGUCGCGGUGGAUGAUGGGGUCCGGCCUAGCACUGUGGAGGAACGCGACGGCAGUGGCCACCUCCCAGGCGACCCGGACGCGGUCGUACCAGGCGAGUGGUGGCGUGCCAUUCCGGCGGUGGUUGAGAGCAUCGUCCAGGCUGCCGUUCUCCAUGUACUCGUACACCACGCAGCCGCGCUCCGGGCACGCGCCCAGCAGCAGCAGCAGGUGAGGGUGCCGGAUCUUGCCCAGGACCUCCAGCUGCAUGUGGUAAGAUGAAAUUAGGAGUUGCAAAACAAAAGUUCAGAAUACAGAAUUACAGAUACAUGUUGCAGUGACAGUCCAUUUCUAGCAGCUGAAUUGGAAUUCUAUUUGAUUUGAAUUAAAAAAUCUUUUGUUUGCCAAAUUCAUUUGACGAAAUCUUUAAUUGUUCUGGCGACUGUCCAUUUGUAAAUACUGAAUUGAGUGCCGUUUGAUUUUUCAAAACAAAAAUAGUCAUAGGUGUCUGAUAUUAGCCAAUACUGUUUGAAUUUUUAUUUACACUUUCUGUUUGGAGUUAAUUUUAUUCAGCGGUCUUAAGAUGCUCUGCUUACCAUCUAAGAUGUAAGAUAAAUAUUUGAUCUCACCGUCCAAGGUUAAGGAUGAAUAUUUUAGUCAAGAUUUGAAGUCAAAAUGAAAAUAAGAACCAUAGCUUUGAUGUGUAGUCUAGCCAAAUAGAAACCUAAAUAGCAUUAAUUAAAAUUAUAUUUUUAUUUAUUUACCAUUGUGCUUUAAUGGCAAUAUGAUAUACUUUCUCAUUUCAACAGCCUGCAAAGUUCAUAUUUUUAGCCCUAUAUAGUCAUUUAUAGGCUCUCUCCUAUUAAUAUAUAGUAGGCAUGAGUCAUUGGAUCAUCCAAACUUAAUGGCUAAUAUUAACUCAGUAGUGUCUUAAAAUUUCUCAAUUUUGUAUGCCGAAAAUAACCUCUGGGUGUAAUGAGCAGAUAGUGAAGAACAUAUUUGUGUUUCCAAGUAGAUACGGUACCUCCUGCUGUAACUGCUGAGUUCCAAAACCUUCCAGGGAGUUCAAAACUUUCACUGCUGCAACAGUAUGCUGAAACUUAGCCUUGUAGACUGUUCCAUAUGUCCCCUUACCAAUCACAAGAUCACUUGAAAACGACGAAGUCGCUGCUUGGAUAUGCUCCCAUGAGUACCUAUUGUACUCGGUUAAACAUCGUCCGGCAUUUUUCAGUCCUGUGUUGAUCUCUCCAGCAUUUUGGUGAUCACCAUCACCCUCUGUUGCUUUCUGCUCAGAAGAGCUUUGUAUGGCUUGACCUUCUCUUUCGGCCACCUCCUCUUCUUCUCUCUCCAUUCGCCUUAGCAAUCUCCUCACCAUUUCUUCUGUCAGGUCAAUUUCUCGAAGCUUGAUUUCAUGCUCGACGCGCUGGAUGCCCAAGUUGUUGUGUAACUAACAGCAAGGUUUCAACAAGAAACGGUUAAAAACCUUGCAGAUUAUUACACACUUUAUAGAUUAGUUGGAAGUAAACCCUUACUUUUUGAGCGGAGUCGACCGGUUCAGUAUGAGCACACUCGUGAAGCAUCUGAAGAUGUCGCAGUUUGACCUUCAUACUCUCAAUUUGAAGCUUCAGAUCAUCCUGCUUAGCAAAGAAAGUUCAUAAAUUGCAGAUUCACUUGGACACACAUGUUACUUUGGCUGUGUGCGUCAUAUGACGAGUUCUUCCAUUAUCUUUUGUUUUUUCUGACACAAAGGGGAUACUGUUUUAUUUAAAGAAGAGUAAAUUCCUACCUGGUCAUGAGAAUGCUUCAGGUUUGUUGCAAUUUCUGAAACUGCUGCCUGCAGGUCGGGGAUGUCUGGGGAGCUAUCUCUUCGGAAGCUCUUGUAAACUGAAUCCCCACUGCUGCUGCUACUGAGCUGCGCUCCCGAUGCGAUCGAGUGUGAAUUUGUCAUCAGGGUUGUGUCAGCAUGGUAGGAGAUCUCGCUGCCUCCACUGCCUGAAGGGCUAGCUCUCCUGUUUAUGUUUGCGAGUGCGUGAUCAUGCUGCGAUGACAGAGAAGACUGGCGGAACAAUACAGCUGCUGCUCCAUUUCUGUCAGCACACUCUGCAGUAGACAGAAUAGUUAGUAACACUAAUACAUUUAUGCUCCUGUUUUUCAAGGCAUGUUCCUGAAAGUUUGGUGGUUCUACUGAGGUUAAGCUGCUGAUCCAAAUUCAAUUGAUUAACUUUUUCGAAGAAACAACUUUUGUUGUAUUCAGUUCAUAGGUGUUCUGAAAAGUAAAGUUGACAGGUGCAACCAACAAAGUUUCAGAAACCAAAACCAAAUGCAGACUUGAGUUUACCUGAGGGUGCACUGGAAAGGCUUCUGGAGCUAGGAGAAGAAACGGUUGAAGAAGAUAUGGUCUUGGGUGUUUCGCAGGGAUCAGAUGUAGCUGAGCGCACAAAUGACAGUUUGCCCUUUGAGACGACGUAUGCCGUACAGAAGCUUGGAAUGCAUUCGGAUAUUUUGGUUGCAGUCUUGCUUCCUUUGAGCUUCCUGCAAAGAGUCGACAAUGCUAGCCACAUCAUUAAGAUUGCACUAGGCAUUUCUUAUCCUAUGCUGUAAUAGGCUUUUUUUUGGUAAAGAAUUGUUAUCUUAAAUUCUCUGCAAGUUUCCAUAUUGAACUUGCAAUCAAGUAGGAGUAGUUGCAGUGCAACCUUCAGUGUUAGGCUGGUAGCUGGGGAAUGGAAUGAGAAGACAAUGAUCAUCCUACCAAAUGCUUGAGCUUUUCUGACUGUCUUGUUCAUUGUACACCAGCAAAUCAGCCUAAACGUUUUUUAUGUAGUAGGUUAAAUAAAAUUUCAGGUUGAUGCUGAAACGUCAGCAAUCGGAAUGUACCUUCGGAAUAUGCUUCUGGACGAAGAGCCCAAGACCAGCUUGCCAAUGUUGAAUUUGUCGAUUUCCUCGCUUAUAGCAGCCGGCACAUCAUCAGAUUCAAGUAAAACAGCUUCGGCUUCCACCUGUUCAUCAAUCAUAUUACUAUCAGUGUUAGAAUUCGUGAGUUAUAUUAAUCUCAACUGUCAUGCCAAGUUAUAUAAUUGUUGCGCAAGCUGGUUAACCUGUCUCUGAGCACACAUCUUCUUGUAAGGGAGCAACAUGUUCCUCGCUUGCCAUUCCAGCUCUUCCCUGUACGCCGAUGCCACAUCGUCGCGCACUUGCGAGACCGGGAUGUAAUUGCCCACUGUCAUCAGAGGAUGAAGAAUAGCAGGUCAGAUCAGUGUUCUGAAUAAUUGGCAACGACUAAAGAACAGCAGGUAUACCCUUAAAUCACAAAUUGCCCACACUUGGUACAAGAAAAGCUCAUAUUCAUCAGCCUAACGAUAAUGCAGUACGCCCAAGGACAAAACUCUGCACUCUGCAGUUGGUGCUCUGGUAGUAGGUAUGACCUUGUGACACUGUAACCAUAAAAUUUGUUCGUAGAUGCUGCUACUGUCAAGAUCAAUUAUUGAGAAAUAUGAAGCUAGCAAAACCAAAACCAAAACCAAAACUAACCCAUCCCAUUGGCAUAGAAAUGGCAGUCUGAACUUAUAUUUUUUAAACUAGCAGUCAUAGUAGCAAAAGGUUCGUGGUCUGUUAAAACUGAUUUUUUUUUCUUGUUCAGACAUCAAGAACAGUAAAUUCAGACAGUAGGCAGAGAUGAGAGAGAAGACAGACUUGGAGUGGGCACCAUGGUGAUGGGCGGGCGGACAUGGAGGAUCCGGAAGAGGACCCUCCCGCCGGGCACGAACUUGUCGAGGGCCCACUUGAGGGCGUGCCUGCUGCUCCUGCUCCCGCUCACCGCGAUGGCCACCGUGCUCACGCCGGCCGCCUCCAUCUCCGGCGCCGUCUCGCCGGAGUCCUCCUCCUGGAUCUCCAUCGACAUCCGCCCUCCCCUCUGUAUCUGUUUCUUCCCCCCUCCUAAUGAAUCAAUCAAUCACUGCCCUGCGCAGCCCCAAUAACAAUUAUCAGAAACAUUCAGCUCCUCUGGUUCCUGAGGAAUCUCAGAGACACGAGGAAAAUCACAUGACAAGGACAUGAACUGCAGCGGCGACAAGACAAGAAAGGAGUCAAGAACUUGGCGCUGGACUGAACUUGGUGUUCCGGGGGGAGAGGCGGGAGGGAGAUUCGCUGAUGGAUCGACCGCGCGUGCGUACCUUGGAGAAGCCAUGGAUGGGAGGGUGAGGUUGAUGAUCCGAGGAACCGGGCGAGGAGGAGGGAGGAGGAGGAGUCAGCAGGAGACGCGGACGUGGAGUGAGGACUGAGCUCAGCUGAGAGGGGAGCCGCGAUGGACGGAAGGGGCGGGCAGAGGCGUCUCCGGUUAAGUUUGUUGGAACGAAGUAAAUUAUUGCAACGGGCAAGGUUGGGAGGGUGUGUGUACACGUAGUACGAGAUAAAUGAAUAGCUGAUAUUGCUAUGCUUACCCGCAGAUUCACACACGCCUCUGUAAUAACCACUCAACCAAUGCUAACUCUUUUCCCUCAAAAAAAAAAAAAACAAUGCUAGCUCUUGGUUUCCCUCCAUGGAAUGCAUCUCAGAUUCAUCAGUUAAACGCCAAAUGCAAAAUAUCAAAUGAUAACGAUGCAGAACUAUUCGCUAACCGCCCAAUUUUUAGAAGACUAGUAUUUUUUAGAGAAUCAAAUACUCCCUCUGAUCCAUACUAAUUUGUACAAAAUCGUAACAAUUAAUAUGGAUCAGAGGGAGUACAUGUGAACAACAACACACAUGUGAAACAGGACAAUCCCGUCUGGUUCAUCUUUUUUUUUUCUUUUACACAUUUUGCGACUUGUCUAUUUGCUUUCGGCUUACUACGCAAAAAAGAAGAAAAGGUUUGUAAUAUCGCCGUGCCUUGCAGAAGUGUCAUCAUUGUGCAAAGUGUGUUGUUGUUUUGUUUUGUUGCAUUCGACGCGUUAGUAAGAUUGACAUGGUUUAAUUAGCCUCAUUUAUAUUUUUGGAAAAAGUACUUCAUUUUGCCUUGGAAUAAAUUUUAUAAAACAUGCCGUAGUGCAGUUCGAACGCGCUACAUGAUUUUUCAUGAUUUUCAGAAAACCGUAAAUUAGACUUUCAUGAUUUUUCUUGGGACAUGCGCAAACAUACCUCAUCAAACGCGCAGAUGCAUGAUGUGCAUCCACUACAUCGAACCUUGUUCCUUCCUGUGAAAGCACUCUCCCCCUCCCCCUCGCCCCUAAGGGCGCGUUUGGUUCCCUGAUUCCCCUCGGGAUCCCGGCCUUAUCCCUAGGGGGAGAAAGCACCGGCCAAUCGGACCUCGGAUUAUUCGGUAGUCAGUUUGGAAGUGCAUCGGACGGGGAUAUCUUGGCCCAAUCCAUGACAUAUCCACGGGGGGAGAAUCCAGGGCUACGGACAUCGGGGACGAAACCCCAUCUCUCUCAUGCGAACACAAACUUCCUUCAUCUCGCGGAUCCCCUCGCCUCCUCCAAUGCCUUCGUACCGUGAGCAUUGAUGUCCUGCAAGCGAGGAGCUUCAUACUCACGAUCUCCUUCCUCCACGUAAUCUAUCUGAUUUGAUUCCCCAUGACGGCCAAAUGGCACCAGAGAUAUCUCCCUAUUGUGAGAGGGGAUCCCAUGAGCACAGAAAAAAUCUCUCCUGGGGGUUUGCUACCCUGGGUUUUCUCUCAUCAGCAACCAAAUGAGCCCUAAAUGUUAAAAUAAUUCUACAUGCACGUCAAUCCGCCGAUAACAAAUAAUCGCACAAGAAGAUUGAGGACAAGCAGUCACAUGAGCACGACACUAAAAUUUAUUAAUGAGGUGCACCAACAUGACUAUAUCCUCGAAGCAUGAUUACGGUCGCUCAUCCCCAUUUACUAAAUCAAUGUAGUACAAUUGCUGACAAGCCCGCCAAGGCCAUCACCAACAUGGCUCAUCCCCGGAGCAUGAUUACGGUCGCUCGUCCCCAUUUACUAAAUCGACGUGGUACAAUUGCCGACAAGCCCCCCAAGGCCAUCACCAACAUGGCUACAUCCCCGGAGCAUGAUUAUGGUCGCUGGUCCACAUUUACUAAAUCGACAUGGUAUAAUUGACAACAAGCCCGCCAAGGCCAUCAGAUAGCACUCCGACUACCGCCCCACGAACGGUCUGGCCAUCCCUGCCAUGGGUGUCCGGACCGUCCCUCUUGUGAUAUUUGUCCAAGGUUUAAAUUUCGUCGAAAUUUGCCAAAAUUUCGACAAUUUUGAGGGUGGGCGAAACUUUUGCCUUUUGUUCAAAAAAAAAUUCACUUGGUUUGAAUUAGCAUGUAUCUGAAAUGAUUUAACUUGGGUAGCCGAGAUUUAUUUAUUUUUGCAAAAGUCCUAGCCGAGAUUUGAACUGCGGCCAGCUGAUUGCUAACCAACGGACUAACUAUCAGGUUAAAUAUGCUGUUUGGUUUCACUAUGUGCCACGGUUUAUUUUAUUUAGAUGUUUGAAUGUAAAAUUGUUCUAAUUCAAAGAUUUUUUUUGGUGAUUUGCCCAAAACAUUUUUCGGAAUCUCAGAAAUUUCGUCCAUUUCAAGGGUGAGCGAAAAAUUUGCCACUUUGAAAUCGUAAACCUUGUCUUUGUCUAGCCUACCAGCUUAUGUCUAAUCUAUUUGGCUACCUCGUGGUGUCUUUAUAUAAUAUAUGUGGUCUACUAAAACACCUAACCUUUUGCUAAUUACAAGUUCAACUGCAGCACAACUCAUACACAUAAUAUUUGACACAUAUUUUACUGUAUACAUAUACACAGAUACAUUCUCGUGUACGAUUCCCGGGUGAGCGUUGGCACUGCUCAACAUGAGGCAGACAACCUGCUCCGGUAGAACCAAUGAUCCGUCUUGAUCUUGACCAGAGGGAGUGGACGCCGUGGGCUCCGAGAAAAACACCACAAGCAUUAAAUAAAUCGUGUAUAUUCAAGUCGCAACUUGCGAGGAAGGACGACGGCGAAGACGACAGCGACGGACGGUGACCACGGCGGCGGCGACGACUCACUGAUCAUGAGCUGCAUCUUCCAUAGAAUAUGCUGCUGCUACAGGUCCACAGGUUGUCAAGUGGAGAAGACUCUUGUCGCUGUAGCAGCUGCACGGGCACGGCAGCAACAGCCUGGGUCCCAGCUACGUGCAAUUUUUUUUGUGUGUGUGUGGUCGGGUCCUGCGUUUUUUCAGACACCAUUCCAGGCUAGAUGUUUUUUCUUUUUGAAGCAAUCCAGGGUAGAUUUUUUUUUUUUUUUGGCCUGCGUGAAAGCUAUGCGGGUCGACCACGGGCACACGAUGUAGGCCUGAGCCGACGUUGUUUUGGGUGAGCGCGACCGGGCCAUGGCUAAGACUGGGCCGGUGCAUUCCCCGUUUUCGUUUUGAACCUUCAUGCUGGCCCGCUUUUGUUUAGAAUUUUAUAUUUUCUACUUUUAUUUAACUUUUAAAAUUAAUGAUAAUUUUUAAGUUUAUUAUUUUUGUAAAAACAUCAUGAGUAUUUUAUACUUGUGAUUUUUUUCUAAAAUGUAAAAUUAUUUUUAAAAUCCGUGAACAUUUUUAAGAUUUGCGACUAUUUUUUAAAUUUAUGGAUAUUUUUAAAAUCAUGAUUUUCUUUGAAUUUGGAGAAUCUUCUUUUGAAGUCAUGAACAUUUUCUAAAAUCAAUGAACUUUCUUGUAAUAGCACUAGUUUCAGAUGAUCCACAACUCUCAAAGUAUGACAUCACUAAUGUAAAAAUAUACUAAGCCAGCAAAAUUCGAGCUGACGAACGAUACUCUACAGUUUCUUCACGUUAGUACAGAGAAAUACAACAUUUUUCACUCAGAAUAAAACAAAGACGAAGAACCAAAAAAUAGGAUGAAAAUACAACAUUUUUCACUCAGACUAAAACAAAGACGAACAAGCAAAAAAAAGGAUGAAAACCAAUGCACUAGCUAAUCCCUGACUACACGCACACGUCCACUACUUGCGCAUCGUCCACUCAACGGCCAGCAUGCACAUGCACAUGACUAGCUAACAAACUCCAUGCGUGACUACAUCAACUAACUCAAGAAAAACCAAGAAAUAAUCUAAACCUAGCACUAAUAACAAGAUUAGUUUUAACAUUCACCACGAAGCAACUCCCGAUGGAACCGUGCCUCCGCAAGCUUGGCAGCAGCAAUAUAUCGGGCACGGCUCGUUUCUUUUCGAGCCACGCCAAGACGCCCUUUCAUGUCAGGCACCUGCUCUCCAGCUGCCUCAGGACAAAUUAACACAUUCAAUAGGCGGGUAGAAGCUUGCCAAAUUCUCCGCGCGACACCACCCGGCGCGGAGGAGAGGGCCUGGAUUGUUGCGCCCGGGGUCGUUCUCAUGGCGGCGCCUCCACUUGGAUGUCCUGGAGGACUGGAGCUGCCUCCACUGCGCUUCCUGGCGACCGCCACCCUCCUCCAAGCGUGGCCCUGGCAAGACCUCUGCGUGACCAGGGGUGCCGGAUGGCACCCGCAGGGUUUGGGUACGGGUCGAGCCACCUCAUACCCAUGGGUAUUUUUUUGACCCAUACCCUUGUCCUAAUAGGGUUUUUACCCGCAGGAUACGCGGAUAAUGGGUAUCCAUUGCCAUCCCCGGAUGCCCGGAUGACGUUGAGCUUAAGGAAAGGCCGAGGCCGGACACCACCGGCCAUUCUCCAGCAUGUCAUGAGGGCACGGUCCCCAAGCAGGGGCUUGAGGCCAUGGCGAGGAAGUGGCAAGCGACGGGUAGAGGUGGCUGACACUGCCAAAGUAGCUACUGGCGAGCGGAAGUGGACGGAGUGACGCACGGCGGGUGCACACGCGCGAGAGGGAAUUUUUUAGAGUGUAGAUUCACUCAUUUUGCUCCGUAUGUAGUCAAUAUUAGAUUCUCUAAAAAGAGAUUAGCAAGAGAUUAGCAGUCGUCAAUCAAUUUCACAAAAAAUCAAUCAUGGGAGUCGAACAAACUCCCGCUAGAUAUAUCAAAUCCUAACCAGUUGAGCUGACAACUGCAGAUGACUAAAAUGCAGCGUUGGAGUUCUAACUACAGCGAUAGAUCCUUCUCUUUUAAAAGAAAUAAAUAUUUCUUGGAAAAACAUGAGAGCGAAAUUUCUUAAUAAAUGAGAACAAUGUUUGAAAAUCAUGAAAAAAAAUCGAAAUUAAAUAAAAAAUUUAAACAUGAAUUUUGUUUUUUGAAGAAGUGAACCAAACAUGACAACAUGAACAUUUUCUGAAAUGUGAAUAUUUCGUGAAUUUUGUUUUUUUAAGUGAACAAAUUUUUUUUAAAUAUGAAUAUUUAUUGAAAAUGCAAAACAAAUUUCGUAUUGAAAACAAUUUCUUUGAAUUGUGAACAAAUGUUUGAAAGCUUAGUCUUUUUGAAAACGUGAAUAAUAUUUUUCAGAAAUCUGAACAUUUGUGAACAAAUUUUGAACUCGGAACAGAUUUUGAAUUGUGUCUUCAUUUUAAGGUGAACAAAUUUUGAAAUAUAUGAACAAAAUUUCAUGAAAAUGUGAUUAGUUUUGAAAUAAUUUUUAAAAAUCAUGAUUUUUUUACUGUAAUUUGGAAUUUUUUUUGAAAUUUUUAACAUUUUUAUAUUUUUUGAACAUAUUCCAAAAAUUUGAAUUUUGAAAAAAGGGAACGAAAAAAAUAAAGAAAUAAGCCAAAAAACGAACAAGAAAAAUAAUAAAUAAAUAAAAUAUGAAAUCAUUCCAGGAAAAAUAGUAACAACAAAACAAGAAAAAUAAAAAUCUAUGAACCUUCUAGAAGGUUCCAAAACAGGCUUCUCCUCCAAGUGGACCGGCCCGUGUGCAUCGGUCACUAUCUUUGCUUCAGCAAAGUCAUGACAAUUUGCCGGGAGUAACUAACGAAGGAGUAAUCCUUCGGGAGCCCCACAACUAUCACUUGGGGCGGGCUUUGAGCGCGCCAUUGGGCGCGCUCUCAGCCGCCGCUACAUGUCACGCUCAGGGCGCUCAUUUCGAUUUUGGUUUUUUUCUAUUUCUACACGCGUUUUUGGCUUUUUAGAUGAUUUUUCAGUUUUUUUUUGGCUUUUUAGUUUUCCACCGGUCUUUCUUAGCUUGGAAAAAAAUGUGAAAAAAUGUGUUUUUUUUUCCUUCCGCGAGAGGCACGAUUUUACUUCCCCGAAAGCCUUGGAUUUGCUUCCACGGGAGGCCGUGCCUCUUGGAAACGAAAAAAAUAUAUUUUUUCCUUUCGCGAGAGGCAUGUUUUGCUUCUGCGAGACGCACGGUCGUGCACCAUGAAAAUGGUAAUAAAAUGUGUUUUCUGUUUUUCCUUCGGCGAGAGACACGUUUUGUUUCCGCGGGACGAAGUGCGUCAUGAAAAUGGUAAUAAAAUGUGUUUUCUUUUUUUCCUUCGGCGAGAGACACGUUUUGUUUCCGCGGGACGCACGGUCAUGCCUCUCGAAAAUGGUAAAAAAAUGUGUUCUCGUUUUUUCCUUCGGCAAGAGGCAUGGUUUUGUUUCCGCGAGAGACAUGACUAGUCCUGGCCAUCUCAGGCCCGGCCCUGUCGGCCCACCCAGGCCCGGCCCUAAAAUCCAGGGCCUAGGCCCGAUGGGCUUGCCCGUGGGCCGGGCUUGGGCCUGAGUUUUGAGCCCAUCAGCAGGGCCUGGACGGGCUUGGGCUUGGCAUAUUGGCAUUUUAAGGAAGAGGCCCGGCCCACGGCCCUAAGCCCUAAGGGCUUUUCAGGGCUUUUUACCAGAUGGGCCGGGCUUGGGCUUGAAAAGUAGGCCCGAUGAAAGGGCCUGGGAGGGCCUGGGCCUCAGUUUUCUGUCGUGGGCUUUUUUAGGCCCGGUCCAAGCCCGGCCCGGCCCGGCCCAUGGCCAGAUAUAGACAUGACCGUGCAUAUGGGAAACAAAAAAAUGUUUUUUUCCUUCCCCGAGAGGCACUGUUUUGCUUUCCCGAGAGGCACGGAUUUGCUUCCGCGAGAGGCACGGCCGUGCCCUCACAAACGGAAAAAAACGUGGUUUUUUCCUUGCGCAAGAGGCAGUCAUGGCUCUUUCGGAAAGGAAAAAAAACAUGCUCCACGUUCGGUUUUUUCGUCCGGUAUUUUUAUAUAAAAAAGUUCGUCAAAACCUAUCAUAAUGGUAUUUAAUUUUGAAGUUCUCGACGCUAGGAAUCCAAGGUAAAAACGGUUCGAGAUUUGGACGCACGGUUUAAUUUGCCACAAACAUCGCAAAUACAGUGUGCCAUCUGUCGCAACCUAAGAAAUAAAAAUGAUCUUUGCACAGAGUGCUCUUUAAUUAAUAAUUUCGCUGUUUGCCACACACGGGUGGCAAAUAGGAAUCGCCGCUGAGUCGAACAGAAGAAAAAGACGUUGACCUGGCCCAGAAGUAGCAAUGUGGGCCGCGUAAGUGGGCUUCAAGGUUGGAAGUAGGCUGUUCGGGUGGGGAAUCGAGCUCAUAAGAGCCCGACCAACUGGGCUAUAUCUCCACACGCUAAAAGAUAUAAGGUCCGUAUUCUAAUAGUCCCACGUUGAUUUUCUGACACCAAAUUACACCUAUUUACAUAUGGGAAAUGUUUGUAUACGGACGACCGGCCGAGCGUUCGGCCGGUCGCAUCGCUCGCUCGCUGCACAUCCUACGCGAGAGUUCCACAGCGGUGGGGUCACACACCGCUUUUCUCUCCUGAUCCUUAUCUUUUCACAGGCAGCGUUGCUCUCAUCCACUCGUCUCCGUUUCUUCCUCUAUCUCCUUUUCUCCUCCACCUCCCACACCGCACCAUAGCCAAGGUUUGCUGUUGCUUUUUCUGCUGCGGGCCAAGGCUACCCAUGAGCUGCAACCGGCGGAAGGGAGGGGCGGCGGAGCUAGCUACAGGAUGAAGCAGGCGAGCGGUGCUGCGAAGACAUCUCCGGCAUGUGUGGCGAGGCCAUGGGGGCGCUGCUAUGACCCUUUCUAGCCAUGAGAGCUACUCGCUUGGUGCUACAACCAGUUUGCGUGAUGUUACAAACGGCGUAGCACCCUGGUACAACUGGUGUCGCCGCUGGUAGAGUUAUCCGAGGCCAGCCACAAUGACCUUCCAUGGCGAAAGCUGCAACCACCUCUCCACAGAGCUGGAACCUGCGUCGCUCAAAGUUGCAGCCACUCCCGAGGAAAGCUGUAACCAUCGCCUGAUUUUGCAUUUUUGCUAUCACCGUUUAUUUUUUUGCUGGAACCAGCACAAGUUUUUGCUACCACCGAUUUUUGGGUUUGCUUCAACCAGCCCCCCAAUUUUGUAAUUUUUGCUACCACCGGUGUUUUAGUUUGCUGGAGCGAGCUUCAUUUUUUCUACCACCGUCAUUUUUGAUUUGCUGGAACAACGUCCAAUUUGCAUGAUUUUGCUACCACCGUGUUUUUGAUUUGCUGGAGCCAGUGCCAUUUUUUGCUACAACCGUCUUUUUGGAUGCGAACCACUACAUCGUCGCCAUUGAAUCUGCAGGGAGGCAAGGGGGAUGGCAGCACGGGCUAGGGGUGAGCACGGCGGGGACGGCGAGCUUCGAGGCCGGUCGUCUUGCUCGGGGUAGGGAGCGCUCUGGGUAAUAGGCGCGGGGUCGCUCGGGGUAAUCAGCGCCGGCCUGGGGCCCGCAGUAUUGCUCACGAAGAAGAGGAAGGCGUGGGACGGGGAAGAAGAGGAUGAGGAAGCCAGAUCGAACGGCUGGACUACGCUGCAUCGGGCGGCUGGGGCGCGACCGGCCCAACUGUUGGGCCGGCGCGCCGGCGCCUAGUAGUCGCCUUUAUAUAUACAUGAUUUGCGACGAUAAACAAGCCAAGGCAAAAAUAAAUAAAGGGAGAGCUGGGCUUAAAAGAAACAAGGAAAUAAACUCCGCCUAUGGACGCGAGUAAAAGAUUUCGCCAGAAACUACCGGAGGGAAUGAUCACUUGCUACACUAAAUCAGAUUAACACGUGCAGUUUUCAUAAAAAGUGUUCACGUGUUUUCCUUUUUUGUGCCUUUAAAAAAUAUUAUGUAAUAUUUAAAAAGCGAUCAUGCAUUUAGAAUUGUUUUGUACUUUUAAGAAAAAUGUUCACAUAUUAAAAUAUUGUUUAUAUCAUCAUUUAAAAAGUCUUUGUGUUUUAAAAGAAGGUUGAUUCAUUUCGAAAAACACUAUGUACAAUUUGAAAGUGAGUGGGUGUACAAGGGACGGUGUAUGGGGUAAACGUAGGUUGAGGUCGGAAAAGGCAGCGUCACAACUAUCUCAACGAGAUUAGUUUUAAAUUAUUAGGUGUUGACUUGCGAUGGCGUGGUUCAAUGUCAGGUUUGUCCCAUGAUCACAUUGAAUGCACUGCAAUCAGGUGGACCCGAUGACCAUGGUCGAGGAAGGCAGGAAGGAGGACAAGCGACAACAUGCUCAAACAGAUAACAUGGAACCAUUGAGGAGUCUUUGGUCGUGCUUAUUAUGCUAGGAACUUGUGAAAAAAAUUCCUUCUGUUGCAACGCACAGACAUGUUUGCUAAUGAAACUAAAGGCACGUCACCAAAUAAUUGUACAAAUAUAUUUCUUUAUAGUUUUCCAAUAUAUGUAGUACGUACAUGAGGAAAAUAUAUUCCAUUAGUAAGCAAAGCCAAGAAAGGUAGUGGCUGUCUUGUUCUUGAUCAAGUGCCCACACCCAAAUCCCAAAUCGCAUGGAUCUGGAUUCGAUUGGACUGGGGAGAGAGGAGCUAGCUCUUCUCUUCUGACGGCGAUGUCAGUAGCGGGACCUGGACUUGGAGUUGCAGGUGAAGUCGAGCGCGGUGCCGUUGGGCCAGAAGAAGCGGAUCUGGCAUGCCAGCCGCGUCCAGUACUUGACGGCCACCACCCCGCCCACCUUCCACCGCGUCCGCGCCUGCCCGCUCACCCGGAACGGCACCACGCCGCGGUUCAGCGCGCCCUCCAUGGCGGCGCGCCCGGCGCCGUCGAGCGGCACGGCCGCCGACGACGCCACGUAGCCCAGCGGCCGCUCGCCCUUGGGCGGCACCACGAAGGGGUCGGCGCGGAGGAUCGCGAUCACCAUGUCGUGGAAGCUCAGCCGCAGCUCCAGCUCCGAGAAGCCCACGGCGGCGUGGGCGUUCACGUUCGCGGCCCGCACGUCCAGCUCCAGCUCCGCGUUGUCCAGCACCCCCUGCUGGUCGUACACCAGGUUCCCCAGCCGCGCCGUCUGCACCGCCAGGUACGGCGCCCUCGGCUGCAGCACCAGCACCACCAGGAGCACCGACACGGCCGCCAGCAGGACUAGCACGGCCAGCACCGUGAACACCACCGCCAUCGCCCACCGCAGCACGCCCGACCGGUACGCCCUGCUGCUGUGCGGGUGCGGGGGCCGCCAGUGGUGCUGCCGCUGCCGGUGGUGGUAGUGCGGGUGGCCGCCAUUGGGUCCGCCAUUAUGCUCGCCGUCGCCGUUGCGGCCUGCGCCCGUGGCGUUGGACAUCGGGAUCGGGAGACGCCGCUGCAAAGAAACAGCAGCAUCAGGUGAGGCGAGGCGAGGCGACUGCGACGGCCUUAUUUGUCUGUGCGUCGGCCGGCGGCAACGUUGCCCCACCAAGGAGGACUUGCUCUCUUCUCUUGUUGGUGGAGGUGGAGGUGGAGCACCACGCCGGGCAAAGGUUUGGUAUCCCCCUGUCCCUCCCCGUGCAACCUCCCUCAUACGCAGCAGUAAGAGCAUCUCCGGCCGUUGGCCCCACAGGGACGCCUAAAAUCGCCGCCUGAGAUGAGCCGGCGCAAAAAAUGGCCCUGGGACGAGUUGGUCCCCAGCCGCCCGGCCAGGACCGCCCCAGGCGCGUUUAAAAAAGGCAAAAAUAUAGCAAAGUUCGGCGAAGUUCGGCAUAUAUUACAUAAUAGUCGCGGAUUUUUAUUACAUAAUAUAUCUAAUUAAAAAAGAAACUGGCUAAACACCGGAGUAGUCGCCGUCGUCGCCGCCAUCCUCGCCGCCGUCGUCGUCGUCGGGCUUCUCCUCCUUGACGCGGCCGUCCUGGUGGACCCCUGACCGGCGUCGCCAACGCAAACUGAUGGCGGCGGCGCGUCGUCGUCAUCGCUAUCCUCGAUGACGACGACUCCUCCUUCGUCGCAGCCCCGGCGGCGCUGCGCGAAUCACCGCAGGGCGGCGCACUGGCGCUCCCUCGCCAUCUUCAGGGAGUCCGCGCGCGCCCAUUCCAGGGUCGCGUCAUCGUCGAGCUCGACGUCGCCGCCGUGCUCCGUCUUCACCGCGGGGAGGCCCGGCUCCGUCUUCACCGGUGCCAGCCCCGGCUCCGUCUUGGGCUUCACGAAGCGCGGAGGAGCCGACGAGGAGGCGCGCCGGCCGCCCUUGUUGAUGACGAUGCCGGCGCUGCGAGUGCGCCGGCCGAGCGGCGUCUCCGCCGCGGGCUCGGUCUUGACGCCGAGCAGCGCCGGAGUGCCGGAGGAGUGCGAGGAAGAGCGCGAGGAGGAGGAAGAAGAGGAGGCGCCGAACCUCCCGGGCAACCAUUGCCCGUCGCGUCGGCAGUGAGCCGUGGCCGUGGCUGCCGCCCUCACCGGGGGGUAUGCCAACGGCGGGUCGUUGCCGCCCUCGAGAUACGUCAAAACGCCCUCGAGGGUGCGGCCGGGGACACCCCACCACAGGUGGCGUCCCUCGCUGUUCUUCGCGCCGUUGGUGGACGCCAUCCUCUGCUGUUGCCGGCGCUGAAAGUAUGCCGUCCACGCCGCUUGGUUGUCGGCGGCGUACUCGGGGAGGGCGAGUUGGGCGUCGGUGAGGGAGGCGCGCACGACCUCAACCUCGUCGGCGAAGUAGGACGGUUUCGCCACGGCGUCGGGCAAUGGGGGAAUGGGCACUCCCCCGUUGCUGAGUCUCCACCCCGUCGGCCCGGCGCGCAUGUCCGGCGGCGCCGGGAUGUUCGCCUGGAACAGGAGCCAAGACUCCUGUUCGCGGAGCGAGCGGCGGCCGAAGCCGUUGGCCGCCGCCUCAUCUUCGGGGAAUCGCUCGGCCAUCGGGAGAGGGAGGGAGGGAGAGGGAGGGCUCGACGGCGGCGCUCGGGAGAGGGGGGCUCGACGGCGGCGCUCGGGAGAGGUAGAGCUCGGCGGCUAGGGCUAGGGCUGGUGUGGCCAGAGGUGAGGGAGGCCACCGGCUUAUAUAGCCGCGCCGCGCCCGUGUGUACGCGUGCGAGGGAGGGGAGUCGUCGGCGCGCCGCCCGUGAGGAAUCAAUGGUAAGGCUGACCGGCGGCAGCCUUGCCAUUGAUUUCCCGCGGGAAACCGAGGCGUUGGGGGGAAGACGACGCGCGGUGUCGCUGACGCGCCGGGCCCGCGGCUCUUUCAUGCCAAAACCACUCGCGCCGGCGCCCCAGCGCGCCGGGUUCGGCCUGGGUCCGCCGGCGCUAAUUUCGGCCCAGGCUGGCGAAAAUCGGGUUCCUGGGGGCACGACUGGACCGAUUUUUCGGCGCUGGUGUGAAAAAUCGUCUGGGGAGACCUUUCUGGGGGCGCGGCUGAAGAUGCUCUAACUAGCUAGCACUCCUAGCAAGUAGCAAGUGUGAUUCAGGAAGCAUCCUCCUGAUGCGAUGCCUGGACAAAGCUUUGGCUCUCGGCUAAACCAGCUCAAAGCAAGGGAGAAAUCUCAUCCUGGGCUACCUCAUCAGCUCUGCUGCUAUGGUGCUGCUUUCUGCGACACCGAUAAAUCUAUCACCCAUUGUGGCUUUCCAAGCGUUAGCAAGCGCGGCUCCAGGUUCAAAACUUUAGGUGACCAUGCAUGUGCCGCACUGUCACAGUGUCACUGCCAGUCACUGAUGAUAGAUAAGCUGUGCAGUGAGCUGGAACGCUAAAGCCAUUGCUCGGCACUCAAUUCCAUCAUGGCAAAGCACCAGAUGCCCCCAUCUUUCUCCUCCUUUUAGUUCCUUUAAGCUAAGGGUGUAGGGUGAGUGAGCCCCGGCCCUUUUCAGUGCUCGCACUUGUGAUUUAUCAAACAAUGGGGGCGCGCAUAUACUGGAUCAGCUUUCAUCUUCUUCUUUUUUGGGGACUGAUCAACAUUCAUCUUUUCUCAGUUGUGUCACGGAUCUCGAGGGUUUCUCUUAAACGAUACCCGAGUCACGACACCCCCUCAAAAAAAAAAAAAAAGGAAACUUCAAAAGUACCCUUGUGCAAAAGCACCUGGGUGAACACUAAAUUCCAACAAUGCAAACAGUGAAUUCCGAAAAUGCAGGCGAGAGGCCGUAACGAGCAGCAGGCCCCCACCGGCAAAGUUGGCAAUGGUUUGAAAACCGCACUAUCUUCUAUAACACUAAGCUCCCUAGUUUUAAAGAGCCUACGUUCAAUUGAGGUCUUCAAUUGAGAUUAGGUCACCCAAUUUUGACCGGGUCAACAUUUUCUCAAAGCUCUCCCAUUCAUUUUUUUUUACUAUACACCGUGCUUCCAAAUUUUUAAGACAUCACAAUUAAUUAAGGUCUUUAAUUUAGAACCAGGCUACUCGAUUUGACCGGGUCAACAAUUUCUUGAGGAGCUCUCCCAUUCAAUUAUUUUAAUUCACAAUAUUCCCUAAUUUUGAAGCUAUUUCAUUGAAUUGAAUUUUAUAUUUGGUUUAGUAUUUUGAUCGGGCCAAUAAUUUUUCGAAUCAAUCAGCAACAAGCGGCCUAUAGAAAUAUAUCAAUCUUGGCACCCUGCCAUCACCUAGAAAAAGGAAACGUCGCCAUUUGAUACUAUAGCACCAAUAUAAUAGCGGCUACCGACUUAGAAAUUUCCCCACAUAAAUAGAGGUUUACUAACGGAUAACACGCGUGUAGAAUUAGUGCUAGCUAAGCACAAUAUUAUCUUGCGUGUACGAUUAGGUACAUGCUAUCUCUGGUUAUACGAAUCCACGUCGAGCACACGAGAAAGAUCUCGGUCGAAAGUUGUUGCUGUUCUACUACAUCUUCAUGGCCGCGCGAGCAGUGUCCGCCGCCGCCGCCUCUGUCGCCGGUCGCCAGGUGGCAAGCCAGACCAGGUUGCCGGAGUGCGGCAGCCACGACAGCGGAUGACCACUACGGGUAGCCGCGGAGCCGCAGCUUGCCGCAAUCGGUGCUGUCGCGGAGGCGGGACCAGCGAGCCAUGAGCAGCCGCGGCUGCACAGCGGAAACAAGAGGCCAGCAGUCAACCUGUUUGGAACUGGAACAAUUAAAACCCAUACCUAACCACACCCAGUAUUUUCUACACGAAACCAAGCUAAACCAACAAUCAGACUCAACCUGCUAAUAACCAAACUAAACAAGCACAGCAGGUGAAACUGACACAAAACAGCCGGCUAAACCAAAACCAUUCUCAGAUUUAUCCGCCCGUGCACGUCGCCGUGCCGCAUGUCAUGUGCAUGGAUGUUGCUAGAUGUGGGCCAAAUAAUGGUAUGUCUACAUAUGAGAAUACAUCCAUAAAUAGUUACAUACAUGUAUGGUCUAUAUGACAAGCACGAUCAGGGGCUAAAAUUAAAAUGCACCUUUAUAUGUUCCCGCAAAAAACCUUUAUGUUAUCUCAGUUUGUUUCCCAACAAACAACAAAACGCAAUGGAGCCUCACAAACGUACAUAAGAAUAAUCAACCGUCUACAUAGAUCAUCUUUUCCAUUUAAAAAACAUAGAUCAUUUCUUUAAAAAAAAUAAGCACAAUAAUAUAGUCCCUCUGUUCCUAAAUAUAAGUCCUUUUAGAGAUUUCAAUAUGGACUACAUACGGAGCAAAAUGAGUGAAUCUACACUCUAAAACAUGUCUAUAUACAUUCGUAUGUGGUCCAUAUUGAAAUCUCUAUAGAGACUUAUAUUUAGGAACGGAGGGAGUAGUACUAAUUUGUAGCACGUCUUAUCUGAUGCCAAGCUCAACUUCAGGUUAUCGAAGGGUCAUCAAACUAAAUUAGUAGGUCGGAUAUUCCUUUGUACCAAACAAAUUAUAUACGUGUCAUUCAUAACAUUAAACAAGUCUAGAAAAUGAGUGAGGCGUUUUGGCUUCCAGGCUCAUCUGCACCUGCACUGAAUAUAAAAAUCAAAAUAAAUACUAGAAAAAUUCAAAAAGUUCCAAAUUUUUUGCAUGGUAGAUAAUUUGGUACGUGAUGUCCGCUAAAAUUUCAAAUCAUUUGGACAUUUGAGUAGCUCUCGGCAAAAAGGCAAAUCUGCGGUCUGUUAAAAAGUGUACUGUUUAUAUAUUGUUCUGAUCCAAUUUGUCUUUUUUGCUGAGAGCUACUCAGGUUUCCGAAUGCUCUAAAUUUUCAGCGAACCUCACGCACCAAAUUAUCUAACUUGCACAAAAAGUUUGGAUUUUUUUGAUUUUUUAAUUGUUUUUUUGUUGACCGGGUGCAGAUAAGCCCGGGCUCAGAAUUGGAUAUUCGGUUGCUUUCUAGAUACUCAAUGAAAACUAUGACAUAGCUACAUGGCUGCAGUAUGUCGUCAUGUUUUUUUCUUCUGAAAUGCCCAAUUUUCUCUAUGAAAUAAGCCUUUUCAACUUAUUCCCUUAAAAGAAAAGCAUGUUCCAAUUCGAAAUUGAAAGAUGGAAAUAAUGCAAACAGCUUCAUAACAUAAACAUAACACAAAUCUACCAGCAAGGUGGUGGCCUUUACGCACAAUUUAAUGCAAGAAAAUCCCCCAUGAACACGCAAAAAAGUCAUGAUAGGGCAAGAGGUGGUGUCUCCUAUGAGAGAGAGAGAGAGAGAGAGUAAACAAAUGUUGCAAAUGGAGUGUUUAGUAAAGAUGUGUAAAAAAUGUAGACAAUGGAGCGACUAGUAAAUUUAUGGCGUACAAAUUUCUAAAUAGUGUUUUUAGCAAAACUAAACAAAUAAGUUGUUUUCUACUGUCAAAAGUCAUUGCACUCUAUGUGGUUAUAUCAUCUCAAUGCGACAUUUAAGUGGAUAAAAUGCCCUUUAUCAAAAUGUCAUUGAACAAGAACAAUAAAUUGAUGUGAGUGAAUGACCCAGCAACCUUCACUUGUAUAUAGACAGCAGCACAAUGAUUUCCCUUCAUCCUAUAUAUACAUCACCUCAUUCAUUCACACCAUUCACUUUGGUGACAUGGCUCCUUAUUUUGAAUAGUUUACUAUAGCAAGUAUGCAUAUGGCAAAACUAAGGAGAUAAUUAGUAUACAUAGUAAUAUGAGACAUCAGGAAAUAAGUACAUACUGGACGGAAAUAUCUUGUAAUUAACUGUUUAAACAAGAGGGUGAGAAGGAGAGGUGUGGUAGUUCCUUAUAAGGCAAUGCAUAUAGUGGAGCAUGUAGUAGAAAUGUAGCAUGAUGCAUCGACCCAAAAUAUCUGGCUUGUUAUAGGAUUGGCAAAGGAUCAUACAACAAGCUGGGAUCGAACCAGGUAAAUUUAAUAAUUUGGUACUCCACUCUAUUAGGUAGAAAGUCUUUCUUGGUGGUUUGGGGCAUAGAGGUUUCCAGUAGUGGCACUAGAUACUUGAUCGAUAAUGAAAACUAUGACAUAGCUACAAUGAUGGUGUAUGUCGUCAUGUUUUUUUCUUCUGAAAAUGCCCGAUUUUCUCUAUAAAAUAAGCUUUUUCAGCUUAUUCCCUUAAACUAAAAGCAUAUUCCAAUUCAAAUUUGAAAGAUGGAAAUACAAACAACUUCACAACAUAAACAUAACACAAAUCUACUAGCAAGGUGGUGGCCUUUACGCACAAUUUAAUGCAAGAAAAUCCCCCGUGAAUAUGAAAAAAGGUUAUGAUAGGGGAAGAGGUAGCUAGUGUAUCCUAUUCGAGAGAGAGAGAGAGAGAGAGAGAGGGAGGGAGGGAGGGAGGGAGGGGGGAGAGAGCACUAGUAGAAAAAGGGCCUAUUGUCCCGGUUGGUAAGGGCCUUUUGUCCCGGUUUUUGAACGGGGACUAAAGGGUCGUUACUAAUGCCCUAACCCUUUAGUCCCGGUUCUUACACGAACCGGGAAAGAUGGGCCUCCACGUGGCCGGUGCGGCGAGCCCAGGCAGGAGGGCCUUUGGUCCCGGUUGGUGGCACUAACAGGGACCAAUAGGCAUCCACGCGUCAGCAUUUCAGGGGCUGGGGUUUUUGUUUUUUUUUUGAAAGGGGGGGGAGGGUUGGGGGUUUUGGGAAAGGUUAAUUUAGGUGUUUCAUAUAUUGUGUUAGCUAGCUAAUUAAUAGAGAGAAGUGUCCUCUCUUAUCUCCGUGCUUGGUCGACGCUACGUACUAUAUACGUAUGAAGAGGACUAGACAUGCUAGCUAGUAAGCAAAUGAAGGAAGCAGAAGAUCGUCAUGAACAUAUGCAUAUAGAGAGAAGUGAUAUCGACCACCUCUCCUUCUUUGAGAGAUUGGUCGAACAACAAGUUCUCGUAUAUCUAUCCGACACUACCGGCUACAUAUAUACAAUAAUUAUCUCUUACAAUAUAAUCUCCUAAUUAAAUUGUAAGAACACAGGGUCCACAUAGUAUUCUUCGUUUUCAGCGAUCACGUGGUCAAGGAAGAAUGCCGCCAAUUCCUCUUGAAUUGCUCGCAUACGAUCUGGUGCUAGGAGUUCACCCCGCAUCCGAAAGAUCUAAUUUGAAGAAGGGGGUCAACACAUAUACAUACAUAUAUAUAUAUAUAUAUGAAUAAAUGAAACUCGACACAAAUGAUGGUAAUAAAAUAAAAUUGUGAAUAUUAUUGCUUACGCACUUCAUAUUGUUCGUCAGAGUAGCCCCGCUCACAGGUCGUGUAGCGGAUGGACUCGCAAACGUAGUAUCCACAGUAAUUAUUCCCGGGUUCCUGCCACAACCACUUUACAAGAAAUAGAGGUCAAUCAAACUGAUAAGCAAGCAUGCUAAAUGGUAUUGAUGAAACUAGCGCUUGAAUCACUAGGAGAUGCGCGGAACAUGCUACUAUAGUACUUACUUUCGGGUGUCUAAAUUGCAGCUUCUUCGGCAGUCCCGGAGCUUUUUUGGUGAAUUUUCUCCAAACCCUGCCAGACAAAGAAAACAAUUACUUGAUAUCAGGAAAUGAACAAAGUUGCUGAUAUGGUGGAUAAUGAUCGAUUUAACUUACUUCUCGAGCAUUUGAGUCAUGUCUGCAUAGUCCUGGGGAUCUUUUCGUCUCGAGUCUAAGACGGUUACUACUCCCUGCUCAAGCUUAAUCUCUAGGAGAAUAUAGUGGAAGCUACGCACGCAUGUAUAAGUCAUCAAUUACAUUACUAUAACCUGGACUAAUAAGGGAAACCGAAUAUGCACAAGACAGUAACACUCACUUGAAGUUGUAAGGAAAGAGUAUUAUAUCUUUGUUUUCAUUUAUUACCAACGAUCGUAGCAAGUUGGCCUCGGUAUUUUCGGCAUGAUAUUUAACCUCAGUUGCAUCUAUGAGAUUUGUGUUAAUGAACCCAAUAUCACCGAUUUGUCUUUUCUUCAAUUCGGCGAUCUUCAAUCUGCAUAAUAUAGUGAGGAUAAUUAUAAAUACAUGCAAUGAAAGAGCUGACCUAUAUAUAGAGACUUAAUGACAGAAGUAGUACUACUUACAGACAGUAGCAAGUGAUCGUUGAUUUAUCGAGGGCCUUUUGAUUGAAAAACUGAAAGAACUCCUCAAAUGGAACAUUCAACAGUUCAAUUCCAACGAGGUCAUGCUCCGGUUUAACUCUCAGCGUCAAAGUAUUCCUCCCCCCAGACUCUCUGCAGGUUUUCAUGUACCAAUCAUGUAAUCUUCGCAUCAUCGUUGUUAGAGAUCUUUCAUCUUUGACGAGAGGCUUACCGUAAUGGUAUUUGUGUUCGUCCACCUCCAAGAAAUCAUAAUGUACAUCGUCGGGCAGGUAAUCUCCAAGAUUGCUAUAACCGGGCACCAUCCUCUGAUCUACAGCGACGAUGUCGCUAGACACCUUGAGCGGGGGGCACGAUUGGUUCGCUUGUUCGCCGAGCUGGUCAAUUUUUUCCCAGCUCGUCGUUCUUUUAACCUUUGAUCACUGACAGUACUUCCCGACCGCUCUGCUUCGGCAAAUGUCUUUGCAAUAAUGCGCUCAUAGUUGCCUCUCGGCGGAGACUUUGGUGGUUUUGUCAGGGCAGACAGAGUGCGCUUCGCUUUCAUCGGAUCUACCUUCUCCUCCAAAGGUGGAUGUUUCUUUGCUUUCACCCCUUCAAAGAAGUUCGUCACUUCGGCUCACACGAUCUUCGUGGUUUCCUCCUCGGUCCUCUCGUAUGGUAACUUCUCUGGAGUCUUCAGAGAAGGACCGAAUCUGUAUUGCCUCCCGCCUCUGGCUGUACUGCUAGACGCCGGCAGAGCAGAUGGAGCGGCUGCGGCUAUCUUCUUUCCUUGCUUACGAGGCGGAGGAGAAGGACUACGACGCGCCGGAGCAGCCGGAGCGGCGGCGGGUCUCUUCCGCCCUUGCCGACGAGGCGGAGAAGGAGGAGGCUGGCUGCUCUGGCGUGCCGGCGCAGGUGGAGAAGGAGGCGGAGUGCCGCCACGCGCCGGAGAAGGAGGCUGAGUGCCCUGAUCACUCGCCGGAGGAGAAGGCGGAGGAGGAGGCGGAGUGCCGCCACGCGCCGGAGAAGGAGGCUGAGUGCCCUGAUCACUCGCCGGAGGAGGAGGCGGAGUGCCCUUACUCGCCGCAGGCGUCAAGUUCGGAAGGUUGAUGAGCUCCUUCCGCCAUAGGCAUGGAGUCUUCAGAGCAGAACCCAGCCGAGUCUCCCCUUCACCGGUAGGGUGGUCAAGCUCGAGGUCCUCAAAUCCGUCCGUUAUUUCAUCCACCAUCACCCUAGCAUAUCCUUCUGGAAUCGGCCGGCAGUGGUAGGUUGCGGCAGGUUCAGUAGGUAAAACAGAGCCAACAGCCGCCUUGACUUUGAAUUUCAUCCAUUGCGUCAUAAGGUGGCAAUGUUGAGACUCCGUGAUAGCAUCCACGGGGUAGCUAGCAGGAGCCGUCAAGACAUGCUCCGGCUGAAGCAGCUCGGUGGAAGCCAUGCUGCUUCUCCGCUGAGAUGGCGGGGUAGUUUCGGCAUGUCGAUUGCCGUCUCGUUCCUCUAGCGCUUGAACCCUUUCGUGCAACUUCUGAAUUUGGGUCUGCUCCACUUUUUUCCUCCUCUCCUGGCUUUUGUAACCGCCUGCGUCCGGAAAACCAGCCUUCCAUGGAACGGAGCCUGGCGUGCCUCGUGUCCGUCCAGGGUGCUCAGGAUUCCCGAGGGCCAUUGUGAGCUCGUCGUUCUCUAUGUCUGGAACGAACGUCCCUUCCUGCGCUGCAUCGAUAUAGUGCUGAAGCCUCUUGACUGGUAUUCUCAAAAGCUCGUCCGUCCAAACGCACCUCCCUGAUACAGGGUCCAAUUUUCCGCCAGCCCCGAAGAACCAAGUCUGGCAACGGUCUGGCUAGUUCAUUGUCUGUGGUUUGAUCCCUUUAUCAAGCAGAUCAUUCUCAGCCUUGGCCCCCUUAGGCCGGGCUUUGAGGUAGCCACCUGACCCCGUGCGAUGGUGAAGCUUCUUCUUCGCAGCAUUCUUCUUGUUUGUCGCUGACAUCUUCUUACUCUUUUCCAAUGUCUUGUGGGCCACAAAUGCGGGCCAGUGAUCUCUGAUCUUCUCAUACCGGCCGAUGAAUUCUGGUGUCUCUUCUUUGUCGACAAACGUUUUCAGCUCAUUCUUCCACCUCCUGAAUAGGUCUGCCAUCUUCUUAAGAGCAUGAGACUUGAUUAAUUGCUCUUUAACUGGCUUCUCCGGAUCCUCCUCUGGCGGUAGGGUGAAAUUUGCCUUCAGCUCAGUCCAAAGAUCAUCUUUCUGCAUAUCAUUGACAUAAGACACCUCAGGGUCUUCCUUCUUAGGCUUAUACCAUUGAUGGAUGCUGAUCGGGAUCUUGCCCCUAACAAGAACCCCGCACUGAUCAGCAAAUGCUUCCUUUGUCCGGAUGGGUUCAAUCGGUUGGCCGUCGCGCGCGAUUGUUGUGAUCUCAAACCUUUCAUCCGAGCACAACUUUCUCUUCGGGCCUCGUCUCUUUACCGAAGUUGUGCUCGAUCCGGAGGGCUAGAAAAAAGAAGAAACGAGAGUUAAUUAAUAUGUGUACAUACCAAAACAAUGAAUGCAUCAAUUAGCUAGUCAACAUAGGCUUAACUAAUAUAUUUACCUGGCCGGACUGUUUUCGGUCACCGGAGCCGUCACCACGGGCUCCUUCUUGCACCAGCAUUGGGUCACCGGAGCCAUCAUAAUCAUGUCUUUCCUCCUCCACUCUUCGAUCACCGUAGCCUGCUUCUUCACCCUGUUCUUCCAGACCAUCAUUGUCGUUAAGAUACGACAAGACAUCACCUCCGGCUAAGAUUAUGUCCCCCAACACCUCUUCUGCUACCUCGUCUCGUCCGUGCUCCAUUGUUUCUGCAAAUAUUACAACAUGGCAAUUAUUACACAAACAUGACAGCAGGUAGAUAUAUUAGUGCAAACGUAGACCUAGCUUAUUUCGGGUUUGGGGUGGCCUCGGCAACGCUUCAAGGGUAGGGGCGCGGCGGGAGGGGGUAGGAGACCGACAUCAUUUUUUUCUACGGUUUGGGUGUCCUCGAGAGUUUUGGUCGAGCGAGAGGGCCGGGGGGUGCUCCCGUGGUAUAAGUUAUCACGGUCGAGAGGGGUAUAUAUAUCGACCGCCCAUCAUGUCGAAGUUAUUUUGGAAUGGAGUUCCCGAUAAAAAUUAAGAAGAGGAAGUAGAAGAUAAAAAAAGAGGAGAAGAAGAAAAAAAAGGAGAAGAAGAAGGAAUAGAGGAGAAGAAGAAAAAAUAGACUCUAUUUUUUCUUCUUCUCCUCUAUUCCUUCUUCUUCUCCUCUUACUUUUCUUCUUAAUCCUCUUCUUAGUUCAUUCCUUCUUCCUUUCUUCCUAGCUAGAUAUAUAAAACUUUUCUAAAAAAUGUUGUCGGGGAGGGGGUACCGACCUCCCCUCAUGUUGAAAUUAUCGGGGAGGGGGUAUAUCGACCCCCACCCCCCUCAUCAUGCAUAUAUAGCUACCACAUACAUAUAUACAUUGAAAAAAAAAUUACAUAUAUACAACAAAAACAUUAAUACACAUAUGAACAAAAAAAAUACAUAUAUGAACAAAAACAUGUUGUGAACAAAAAAAAUUAAUGUAAUAAGUCUAAUAAGAAAUUAAUCUAAUAAAAAACAUGCUCUGAACUUACAUAUAGCCACAUACAUACAAAUAUACAUUAUAUAUAUAUGAACAAAAAAUUAAUCUAAUACAAAAUAAAAACAGAGUCUGACCGGCGCGACGGCUCAUAGCGGGGGCGUCUGGCGACNNNNNNNNNNNNNNNNNNNNNNNNNNNNNNNNNNNNNNNNNNNNNNNNNNNNNNNNNNNNNNNNNNNNNNNNNNNNNNNNNNNNNNNNNNNNNNNNNNNNNNNNNNNNNNNNNNNNNNNNNNNNNNNNNNNNNNNNNNNNNNNNNNNNNNNNNNNNNNNNNNNNNNNNNNNNNNNNNNNNNNNNNNNNNNNNNNNNNNNNNNNNNNNNNNNNNNNNNNNNNNNNNNNNNNNNNNNNNNNNNNNNNNNNNNNNNNNNNNNNNNNNNNNNNNNNNNNNNNNNNNNNNNNNNNNNNNNNNNNNNNNNNNNNNNNNNNNNNNNNNNNNNNNNNNNNNNNNNNNNNNNNNNNNNNNNNNNNNNNNNNNNNNNNNNNNNNNNNNNNNNNNNNNNNNNNNNNNNNNNNNNNGGACCAAAGGCACCCUUUAGUCCCGGUUGGUGCCACCAACCGGGACGGAAAGCCUUGCACAGCGGCGUGGUGGUGGGAGUUUAGUCCCACCUCGCUAGCUGAGAGAGAGCCGCACCUGUUUAUAAGGUGCGGUGCGCCUGAGCUGUCGAGCUCCUCUCCAAAGCAGGCUUACGGGCCUAACCUCUCUGUACAUGCCUGUGGGCCUACUGGGCCUUCUGCGGGCCUGAAUCCUGGCCCAUGGAUUGGUUUCUAGUCGUAUUCAGGCCGUGGUGGCCCAGUAGUGGCAUAAUUUUUAUUUUUUUGCCUUUUUUUGUUUUCUUUUUUGCUUUAUUUAUUUUGUUUUGUUUCUACAUACAACAAAAAACUUAUUUAUUUUAUUUUAUUUUAUUUUGUUUCUAAGUACUUAUUUAUUUUACUUUAUGAUAAUUCUUUUUGCUAUUAAAGUUUCUAACAAAAAAAGUUCUUUAUGAAAAUUCUUUUUGCUUUGAAUGAUUUUGAACAGAAAAUACUUCGAUAAUUUUAGUUGCAUCAAUUUUAUAUAAUUUUAGUUUCAAUAAUACUAGAGGUUGCUUAUAAUGUUUUGAACAGAAAAUACUUUGAUAAUUCUAGUUUCAUAAAUUUUAUUUAUGUUAUUAAAGUUUAUUUUAUUUUGUUUCUACUUAUAUAUUUUAUUAAAGUUUAUAUUAUUUUGUUUCUAAUUACUUAUUUAUUAUAUUUGUUAUUUUUCGUGCACCAUUUUUCAUGCAUUUACUGAUUAUUUUGAGCUAUAAGACCCUAAAAUUGAAAAGCAUUUCAAAUGAACUCUGGAAAGGUUGAAAUUUGGCAUGGUAUCAUCAUUUCAUCCACAUAGCAUGUGCAAGAAAGUUGAGAGGGUUACGGCAAAAACUGGAUGCACUUCGUGUACAAAACGGACAAUCUCUUUCGAAGUAUCAGGAUUUCAUAUGGAAACUCGUCUGUUACAAAGGGAUUUCAUUUUUUUAAACUUAUUUGAACUCCUGACUUUUUGUGUGUUCAAAAUGCACCAUUCAAAGCCACAACAUCAAUUUUCAACCCUUUCUGACUUCAUUUGUUAUUUUUCAUGCAUUUAUUGAUUAUUUUGAGCUAUAAGACUUUGAAAUUGAAAAGCAUUUCAAAUGACCUCUGAAAAGGUUGAAAGUUGGCAUGGUAUCAUCAUUUCAUCCACAUAGCAUGUGCAAGAAAGUUGAGAGGGUUACGGCAAAAACUGGAUACACUUCGUGUACAAAACGGACAAUGGUAUCAUACUCGUCUGUUACAAAGUUGACAUGGUAUCAUCAUAAUAGUUGCGGGAGAAAGUCUUCACUUUUUCUUCGCUUGUGUCAUUUGCUUAUUGCACCGUAACCAUGGAUAAUCUUCAUCGUUUAUCAGGAUGCUUGGGUCAGCCUUGACUUUGAAGGGAGGAAUUUCAUGAAACUUUUCAUAAUCUUCAGACAUGUCUGUCUUGCCCUCGACUCCCACAAUGUCCCUUUUUCCUGAAAGAACUAUGUAGCGUUUUGGCUCAUCGUAUGAUGUAUUCGCUUCCUUAUCUUUUCUUUUUCUCGGUCUGGUAGACAUGUCCUUCACAUAGAUAACCUGUGCCACAUCAUUGGCUAGGACGAACGGUUCGUCAGUGUACCCAAGAUUGUUUAGAUCCACUGUUGUCAUUCCGUAUUGUGGGUCUACCUGUACCCCGCCUCCUGACAGAUUGACCCAUUUGCACUUAAACAAAGGGACCUUAAAAUCAUGUCCGUAGUCAAGUUCCCAUAUGUCCAUUAUGUAACCAUAAUAUGUGUCCUUUCCCCUCUCGGUUGCUGCAUCAAAGCGGACACCACUAUUUUGGUUGGUGCUCUUUUGAUCUUGGGCGAUCAUGUAAAAUGUACUCCCAUUUAUCUCGUAUCCUUUGUAAGUCAAUACAGUCGAAGAUGGUCCCCUGGACAAUGAGUACAACUCAUCACAAACAGUGGUGUCACCUCUGAGACGUGUUUCCAACCAACUGCUAAAAGUCCUGAUGUGUUCACAUGUAAUCCAGUCGUCACACUGCUUCGGGUGUUUGGAGCGCAGACUGUUCUUGUGUUCAUCGACAUACGAGGUCACCAAGGUAGAGUUCUGUAGAACUGUGUAGUGUGCUUGAGACCAAGAAUGCCCGUCCCUGCAUAUUAUUGAGUCCGCUCCUAGCGUGCCUUUUCUAGUCAGUCUCCCCUCAUACCGCGAUUUAGGGAGACCUAUCUUCUUAAGGCCAGGAAUGAAGUCAACACAAAACCCAAUGACAUCCUCUGUUUGAUGGCCCAUGAAGAUGCUUCCUUCUGGCCUAGCGCGGUUACGGACAUAUUUCUUUAGGACUCUCAUGAACCUCUCAAAGGGGAACAUAUUUUGUAGAAAUACGGGCCCCAGAAUGACAAUCUCGUCGACUAGAUGAACUAGGACGUGCGUCAUGAUAUUGAAGAGGGAUGGUGGGAACACCAGCUCGAAACUGACAAGACAUUGCGCCACAUCACUCCUUAGCCUUGGUAUGAUUUCUGGAUCAAUCACCUUCUGAGAGAUUGCAUUGAGGAAUGCACAUAGCUUCACAAUGGCUAAUCGGACGUUUGUCGUUGCCGGGUUGCUUAGGGCCUUGGAUGAGAACUGGCAUCAUAAUGAACUUCCGCUUCAUGCACAUCCAAGGAGGAAGGUUAUACAUACAUAGAGUCACGGGCCAGGUGCUGUGAUUGCUGCUCUGCUCCCCGAAAGGAUUAAUGCCAUCCGCGCUUAAACCAAACCAUACGUUCCUUGGGUCAGCUGCAAACUCAGCCCAGUACUUUCUCUUGAUUUUUCUCCAAUGCGACCCGUCAGCGGGUGCUCUCAACUUCCCGUCUUUCUUACGGUCCUCACUGUGCCAUCGCAUCAACUUGGCAUGCUCUUCGUUUCUGAACAGACGUUUCAACCGUGGUAUUAUAGGAGCAUACCACAUCACCUUCGCAGGAACCCUCUUCCUGGGGGGCUCGCCAUCAACAUCACCAGGGUCAUCUCGUCUGAUCUUAUACCGUAAUGCACCGCAUACCGGGCAUGCGUUCAGAUCCUUGUACGCACCGCGGUAGAGGAUGCAGUCAUUAGGGCAUGCAUGUAUCUUCUGUUGGGAAUCGUAGCAUAAUUUAAAAAAAAUUCCUACGCUCACCAAGAUGCAUCUAUGGAGUGUACUAGCAACGAGGGGAAGGGUGUGCAUCUACAUACCCUUGUAGAUCGCGAGCGGAAGCGUUCCAAUGAACGUGGAUGACGGAGUCGUACUCGCCGUGAUCCAAAUCACCGAUGACCGAGUGCCGGACGGACGGCACCUCCGCGUUCAACACACGUACGGUGCAGCGACGUCUCCUCCUUCUUGAUCCAGCAAGGGGGAAGGAGAGGUUGAUGGAGAUCCAGCAGCACGACGGCGUGGUGGUGGAUGUGGCGGGUCUCCGGCAGGGCUUCGCCGAGCUUCUGCGAGAGAGAGAGAGAGGUGUUGCAGGGGAGGAGGGAGGCGCCCAAGGCUGUAGGUUGCUGCCCUCCCUCCCCCCCUUUAUAUAGGCCCCUGGGGGGGUGCGCCGGCCCUGGGAGAUGGGAUCUCCAAGGGGGGGGGCAAGGGGGGAAGGGGUUGCCUUGCCCCCCAAGGCAAGGGGGAAGCUCCCCCCUAGGGUUCCCAACCCUAGGCGCAUGGGGGGAGGCCCAAGGGGGGCGCCCCAGCCCACUAUGGGCUGGUUCCCUUCCACUUUCAGCCCACUGGGCCCUCCGGGAUAGGUGGCCCCACCCGGUGGACCCCCGGGACCCUUCCGGUGGUCCCGGUACAAUACCGGUAACCCCCGAAACUUUCCCGGUGGCCGAAACUAGACUUCCUAUAUAUAAUUCUUCACCUCCGGACCAUUCCGGAACCUCUCAUGACAUCCGGGAUCUCAUCCGGUACUCCGAACAACUUUCGGGUUUCCGCAUACAUAUAUCUCUACAACCCUAGCGUCACCGGACCUUAAGUGUGUAGACCCUACGGGUUCGGGAGACAUGCAGACAUGACCGAGACGCCUCUCCGGUCAAUAACCAACAGCGGGAUCUGGAUACCCAUGUUGGCUCCCACAUGUUCCACGAUGAUCUCAUCGGAUGAACCACGGUGUCGAGGAUUCAAUCAAUCCGUAUGCAAUUCCCUUUGUCAUUCGGUAUGUUACUUGCCCGAGAUUCGAUCGUUGGUAUCCCAAUACCUUGUUCAAUCUCGUUACCGGCAAGUCUCUUUACUCGACCGCAAUGCAUGAUCCCGUGACUAACGCCUUAGUCACAUUGAGCUCAUUAUGAUGAUGCAUUACCGAGUGGGCCCAGAGAUACCUCUCCGUCACACGGAGUGACAAAUCCCAGUCUCGAUCCGUGCCAACCCAACAGACACUUUCGGAGAUACCCGUAAUGCACCUUUAUAGUCACCCAGUUACGUUGUGACGUUUGGCACACCCAAAGCACUCCUACGGUAUCCGGGAGUUGCACGAUCUCAUGGUCUAAGGAAAAGAUACUUGACAUUGGAAAAGCUCUAGCAAACGAAACUACACGAUCUUUUAUGCUAUGCUUAGGAUUGGGUCUUGUCCAUCACAUCAUUCUCCUAAUGAUGUGAUCCCGUUAUCAAUGACAUCCAAUGUCCAUAGUCAGGAAACCAUGACUAUCUGUUGAUCAACGAGCUAGUCAACUAGAGGCUUACUAGGGACACGUUGUGGUCUAUGUAUUCACACAUGUAUUACGAUUUCCGGACAAUACAAUUAUAGCAUGAAUAAUAGACAAUUACCAUGAACAAAGAAAUAUAAUAAUAACCAUUUAUUAUUGCCUCUAGGGCAUAUUUCCAACAGUCUCCCACUUGCACUAGAGUCAAUAAUCUAGUUACAAUGUGAUGAAUCGAACACCCAUUCCGUCCUGGUGUUGAUCAUGUUUUGCCCUAGGGAGAGGUUUAGUCAACGGAUCUGCUACAUUCAGGUCCGUGUGUACUUUACAAAUAUCUAUGUCUCCAUUUUGAACACUUUCACGAAUGGAGUUGAAGCGACGGUUGAUAUGCCUGGUCUUCCUGUGAAACCUGGGCUCCUUCGCAAGGGCAAUAGCUCUAGUGUUGUCACAGAAGAGAGUCAUUGGGCCCGACGCAUUGGGAAUCACCCCUAGGUCGGUAAUGAACUCCUUCAUCCAGACUGCUUCCUGUGCUGCCUCCGAGGCUGCCAUGUACUCCGCUUCACAUGUAGAUCCCGCCACGACGCUUUGCUUGCAACUGUACCAGCUUACUGCUCCUCCAUUCAAAAUAUACACGUAUCCGGUCUGUGACUUCGAGUCAUCCAGAUCUGUGUCGAAGCUAGCGUCGACGUAACCCUUUACGACAAGCUCUUCGUCACCUCCAUAAACGAGAAACAUAUCCUUAGUCCUCUUCAGGUACUUCAGGAUAUUCUUGACCGCUGUCCAGUGUUCCUUGCCGGGAUUACUUUGGUACCUUCCUACCAAACUUACGGCAAGGUUUACAUCAGGUCUGGUACACAGCAUGGCAUACAUAAUAGACCCUAUGGCCGAGGCAUAGGGGAUGACACUCAUCUCUUCUAUAUCUUCUGCCGUGGUCGGGCAUUGAGCCGUGCUCAAUUGCACACCUUGCAAUACAGGCAAGAACCCCUUCUUGGACUGAUCCAUACUGAACUUCUUCAAUAUCUUGUCAAGGUAUGUACUCUGUGAAAGACCAAUGAGCCGUCUUGAUCUAUCUCUAUAGAUCUUGAUGCCUAAUAUAUAAGCAGCUUCUCCAAGGUCCUUCAUUGAAAAACACUUAUUCAAAUAGGCCUUUAUACUUUCCAAGAAUUCUAUAUCAUUUCCCAUCAAUAGUAUGUCAUCCACAUAUAAUAUGAGAAAUGCUACAGAGCUCCCACUCACUUUCUUGUAGACACAGGCUUCUCCAUAAGUCUGUGUAAACCCAAACGCUUUGAUCAUCUCAUCAAAGCGAAUGUUCCAACUCCGAGAUGCUUGCACCAGCCCAUAGAUUGAGCGCUGGAGCUUGCAUACUUUGUUAGCAUUCUUAGGAUCGACAAAACCUUCCGGCUGCAUCAUAUACAACUCUUCCUUAAGGAAGCCAUUAAGGAAUGCCGUUUUGACGUCCAUCUGCCAUAUCUCAUAAUCAUAGUAUGCGGCAAUUGCUAACAUGAUUCGGACGGACUUAAGCUUCGGUACGGGUGAGAAAGUCUCAUCGUAGUCAACCCCUUGAACUUGUCGAUAACCCUUAGCGACAAGUCGAGCUUUGUAGAUGGUCACAUUACCAUCCGCGUCCGUCUUCUUCUUAAAGAUCCAUUUGUUUUCUAUGGCUCGCCGCUCAUCGGGCAAGUCAGUCAAAGUCCAUACUUUGUUUUCAUACAUGGAUUCUAUCUCGGAUUUCAUGGCUUCUAGCCAUUUGUCGGAAUCCGGGCCCGCCAUCGCUUCUUCAUAGUUCGAAGGUUCACCGUUGUCUAACAACAUGAUUUCCAGGACAGGGUUGCCGUACCACUCUGGUGCGGAACGUGUCCUUGUGGACCUACGAAGUUCAGUAGCAACUUGAUCCGAAGCUUCAUGAUCAUCAUCAUUAACUUCCUCCCCAGUCGGUGUAGGCACCACAGGAACAUUUUCCCGCGCUGCGCUACUUUCCGGUUCGGAAGGGGUGACUAUCACCUCAUCAAGUUCCACUUUCCUCCCACUCAAUUCUUUCGAGAGAAACUCCUUCUCCAGAAAGGACCCGUUCUUGGCAACGAAGAUCUUGCCUUCGGAUCUGAGGUAGAAGGUAUACCCAAUCGUUUCCUUAGGGUAUCCUAUGAAGAUGCAUUUUUCCGACUUGGGUUCGAUCUUUUCAGGUUGAAGUUUCUUGACAUAAGCAUCGCAUCCCCAAACUUUUAGAAAUGACAGCUUAGGUUUCUUCCCAAACCAUAAUUCAUACGGUGUCGUCUCAACGGAUUUCGACGGAGCCCUAUUUAAAGUGAAUGCGGCAGUCUCUAAAGCAUAACCCCAAAAUGAGAGCGGUAAAUCGGUAAGAGACAUCAUAGAUCGCACCAUAUCCAAUAGAGUGCGAUUACGACGUUCGGACACACCAUUUCUUUGAGGUGUUCCAGGCGGCGUGAGUUGUGAAACUAUUCCACAUUUCCUUAAGUGUGUACCAAAUUCGUGACUUAAAUAUUCUCCACCACGAUCUGAUCGUAAGAAUUUUAUUCUCCUGUCACGUUGAUUCUCAACUUCACUCUGAAAUUCCUUGAACUUUUCAAAGGUUUCAGACUUGUGUUUCAUCAGGUAGACAUACCCAUAUCUACUUAAAUCAUCAGUGAGAGUGAGAACAUAACGAUAUCCUCCGCGAGCCUCAACACUCAUUGGACCACACACAUCGGUAUGUAUGAUUUCCAAUAAGUUGGUUGCUCGCUCCAUUGUUCCGGAGAACGGAGUCUUGGUCAUCUUACCGAUGAGGCAUGGUUCGCACGUGUCAAAUGAUUCGUAAUCAAGAGACUCCAAAAGUCCAUCUGCAUGGAGCUUCUUCAUGCGCUUGACACCAAUGUGACCAAGGCGGCAGUGCCACAAGUAUGUGGGACUAUCGUUAUCAACUUUACAUCUUUUGGUAUUCACACUAUGAACAUGUGUAACAUCACGUUCGAGAUUCAUCAAAAAUAAACCAUUGACCAGCGGGGCAUGACCAUAAAACAUAUCUCUCAAAUAAAUAGAACAACCAUUAUUCUCGGAUUUAAAUGAGUAGCCAUCUCGAAUUAAACGAGAUCCAGAUACAAUGUUCAUGCUCAAAGCUGGCACUAAAUAACAAUUAUUGAGGUUUAAAACUAAUCCCGUGGGUAGAUGCAGAGGUAGCGUGCCGACGGCGAUCACAUCGACCUUGGAACCAUUCCCGACGUGCAUCGUCACCUCGUCCUUUGCCAGUCUCUGUUUAUUCCGUAGUUCCUGCUUUGAGUUACAAAUAUGAGCAACCGCACCGGUAUCAAAUACCCAGGAGCUACUACGAGUACUGGUAAGGUACACAUCAAUUACUUGUAUAUCACAUAUACCUUGGGUGUUGCCGGCCUUCUUCUUGUCCGCUAAAUAUUUGGGGCAGUUCCGCUUCCAGUGACCACUUCCCUUGCAAUAAAAGCACUCAGUCCCGGGCUUGGGUCCAUUCUUUGACUUCUUCCCAGUAACUGGUUUACCGGGCGCGGCAACUCCCUUGCCGUCCUUCUUGAAGUUCUUCUUACCCUUGCCCUUCUUGAACUUGGUGGUUUUAUUCACCAUCAACACUUGAUGUUCUUUUCUGAUCUCCCCUUCUGCUGAUUUCAGCAUUGAAUAUACCUCGGGAAUGGUCUUUUCCAUCCCCUGCAUAUUGUAGUUCAUCACAAAGCUCUUGUAGCUUGGUGGAAGCGACUGGAGGAUUCUGUCAAUGACCGCGUCAUCCGGGAGAUUAACUCCCAGCUGAGACAAGCGGUUGUGCAACCCAGACAUUCUGAGUAUGUGCUCACUAACAGAACUGUUCUCCUCCAUUUUACAGCUGAAGAACUUGUCGGAGACAUCAUAUCUCUCGACCCGGGCAUGAGCUUGGAAAACUAGUUUCAGCUCCUCGAACAUCUCAUAUGCUCCAUGUUUCUCAAAACGCUUUUGGAGACCCGGUUCUAGGCUGUAAAGCAUGCCGCACUGAACGAGGGAGUAAUCAUCAGCACGUGAUUGCCAAGCGUUCAUAACGUCUUGGUUCUGUGGGAUUGGUGCAUCACCUAGCGGUGCUUCUAAGACAUAAUCUUUCUUGGCUACUAUGAGGAUGAGCCUCAGGUUCCGGACCCAGUCCGUAUAGUUGCUGCCAUCAUCUUUCAGCUUGGUUUUCUCUAGGAACGCGUUGAAAUUGAGGACAACGUUGGCCAUUUGAUCUACAAUACAUAGUGUAAAGAUUUUUAGACUAAGUUCAUGAUAAUUAAGUUCAUCUAAUCAAAUUAUUUAAUGAACUCCCACUCAGAUAGACAUCCCUCUCGUCAUCUAAGUGAAACAUGAUCCGAGUUUAACUAGGCCGUGUCCGAUCAUCACGUGAGACGGACUAGUCAAGAUCGGUGAACAUCUCCAUGUUGAUCGUAUCUUCUAUACGACUCAUGCUCGACCUUUCGGUCCUCCAUGUUCCGAGGCCAUGUCUGUACAUGCUAGGCUCGUCAAGUCAACCUAAGUGUAUUGCGUGUGUUCCGAGGCCAUGUCUGUACAUGCUAGGCUCGUCAACACCCGUUGUAUUCGAACGUUAGAAUCUAUCACACCCGAUCAUCAUGUGGUGCUUCGAAACAACGAACCUUCGCAACGGUGCACCGUUAGGGUGAACACUUUCUUGAAAUUAUUAUAAGGGAUCAUCUUACUUACUACCGUCGUUCUAAGCAAAUAAGAUGCAAAAACAUGAUAAACAUCACAUGCAAUCAAAUAGUGACAUGAUAUGGCCAAUAUCAUCAUGCUCCUUUGAUCUCCAUCUUCGGGGCACCAUGAUCAUCUUCGUCACCGGCAUGACACCAUGAUCUCCAUCAUCAUGAUCUCCAUCAUUGUGUCUUCAUGAAGUCGUCACGCCAACGAUUACUUCUACUUCUAUGGCUAACCCGUUUAGCAACAAAGUAAAGUAAUUUACAUGGCGUUAUUCAAUGACACGCAGGUCAUGCAAAAUAAUAAAGACAACUCCUAUGGCUCCUGCCGGUUGUCAUACUCAUCGAUAUGCAAGUCGUGAUUCCUAUUACAAGAAUAUGAUCAAUCUCAUACAUCACAUAUAUCAUUCAUCACAUCUUCUGGCCAUAUCAUAUCACAUAGCACUUGUUGCAAAAACAAGUUAGACGUCCUCUAAUUGUUGUUGCAAGUUUUUACGUGGUUUGUAGGUUUCUAGAAAGAACGUUUCUUACCUACGUAUGACCACAACGUGAUUUGCCAAUUUCUAUUUACCCUUCAUAAGGACCCUUUUCAUCGAAUCCGUUCCGACUAAAGUAGGAGAGACAGACACCCGCUAGCCACCUUAUGCAUCUAGUGCAUGUCAGUCGGUGGAACCUGUCUCACGUAAGUGUACGUGUAAGGUCGGUCCGGGCCGCUUCAUCCUACAAUACCGCCGAAACAAGAAAAGACUAGUAGCGGCAAGAAGAAUUGGCAAACUCAACGCCCACAACUGCUUUGUGUUCUACUCGUGCAUAGUAACUACGCAUAGGCCUGGCUCAUGAUGCCACUGUUGGGAAUCGUAGCAUAAUUUAAAAAAAAAUUCCUACGCUCACCAAGAUGCAUCUAUGGAGUGUACUAGCAACGAGGGGAAGGGAGUGCAUCUACAUACCCUUGUAGAUCGCGAGCGGAAGCGUUCCAAUGAACGUGGAUGACGGAGUCGUACUCGCCGUGAUCCAAAUCACCGAUGACCGAGUGCCGAACGGACGACACCUCCGCGUUAAACACACGUACGGUGCAGAGACGUCUCCUCCUUCUUGAUCCAGCAAGGGGGAAGGAGAGGUUGAUGGAGAUCCAGCAGCACGACGGCGUGGUGGUGGAUGUAGCGGGUCUCCGGCAGGGCUUCGCCGAGCUUCUGCGAGAGAGAGAGAGGUGUUGCAGGGGAGGAGGGAGGCGCCCAAGGCUGUAGGUUGCUGCCCUCCCUCCCCCCUUUAUAUAGGCCCCUGGGGGGGUGCGCCGGCCCUGGGAGAUGGGAUCUCCAAGGGGGGGGGGCGGCGGCCAAGGGGGGAAGGGGUUGCCUUGCCCCCCAAGGCAAGGGGGAAGCUCCCCCCUAGGGUUCCCAACCCUAGGCGCAUGGGGGCAGGCCCAAGGGGGGCGCCCCAGCCCACUAUGGGCUGGUUCCCUUCCACUUUCAGCCCACGGGGCGUUCCGGGAUAGGUGGCCCCACCCGGUGGACCCCCGGGACCCUUCCGGUGGUCCCGGUACAAUACCGGUAACCCCCGAAACUUUCCCGGUGGCCGAAACUAGACUUCCUAUAUAUAAUUCUUCACCUCCGGACCAUUCCGGAACCUCUCAUGACAUCCGGGAUCUCAUCCGGGACUCCGAACAACUUUCGGGUUUCCGCAUACAUAUAUCUCUACAACCCUAGCGUCACCGGACCUUAAGUGUGUAGACCCUACGGGUUCGGGAGACAUGCAGACAUGACCGAGACGCCUCUCCGGUCAAUAACCAACAGCGGGAUCUGGAUACCCAUAUUGGCUCCCACAUGUUCCACGAUGAUCUCAUCAGAUGAACCACGGUGUCGAGGAUUCAAUCAAUCCGUAUGCAAUUCCCUUUGUCAUUCGGUAUGUUACUUGCCCGAGAUUCGAUCGUUGGUAUCCCAAUACCUUGUUCAAUCUCGUUACCGGCAAGUCUCUUUACUCGUACCGCAAUGCAUGAUCCCGUGACUAACGCCUUAGUCACAUUGAGCUCAUUAUGAUGAUGCAUUACCGAGUGGGCCCAGAGAUACCUCUCCGUCACACGGAGUGACAAAUCCCAGUCUCGAUCCGUGCCAACCCAACAGACAUUUUCGGAGAUACCCGUAAUGCACCUUUAUAGUCACCCAGUUACAUUGUGACGUUUGGCACACCCAAAGCACUCCUACGGUAUCCGGGAGUUGCACGAUCUCAUGGUCUAAGGAAAAGAUACUUGACAUUGGAAAAGCUCUAGCAAACGAAACUACACGAUCUUUUAUACUAUGCUUAGGAUUGGGUCUUGUCCAUCACAUCAUUCUCCUAAUGAUGUGAUCCCGUUAUCAAUGACAUCCAAUGUCCAUAGUCAGGAAACCAUGACUAUCUGUUGAUCAACGAGCUAGUCAACUAGAGGCUUACUAGGGACACGUUGUGGUCUAUGUAUUCACACAUGUAUUACGAUUUCCGGACAAUACAAUUAUAGCAUGAAUAAUAGACAAUUACCAUGAACAAAGAAAUAUAAUAAUAACCAUUUAUUAUUGCCUCUAGGGCAUAUUUCCAACAUCUUCUGCACCUCCAAUCCUAGAGGGCAUACGACCUUCUUUGCUGCGUAUGUACUGUCGGGCAAUUCGUUAUCCUUUGGAAGCUUCUUCUUCAAUAUUUUCAAUAGCUUCUCAAAUCCUUUGUCAGGCAAAGCAUUCUCUGGCUUCCACUGCAGCAAUUCCAGUACGGUACCGAGCUUUGUGUUGCCAUCUUCGCAAUUGGGGUACAACCCUUUUUUGUGAUCCUCUAACAUGCAAUCGAACUUCAGCUUCUCCUUUUGACUUUCGCAUUGCGUCCUUGCAUCGACAAUGACCCGGCGGAGAUCAUCAUCAUCGGGCACUGGUUCCUCUUGAUCUUCAGCAGCUUCCCCCGUUGCAGCAUCAUUGGGCACAUCGUCUGGUUCCUCUUGAUCUUCAGCAGCUUCCCCCGUUGCAGCAUCACCGUAUUCAGGGGGCACAUAGUUGUCAUCGUCCUCUUCUUCUUCGCCGUCUUCCAUCAUAACCCCUAUUUCUCCGUGCCUCGUCCAAACAUUAUAGUGUGGCAUGAAACCCUUGUAAAGCAGGUGGGUGUGAAGGAUUUUCCGGUCAGAGUAAGACUUCGUAUUCCCACAUGUAGGGCAUGGACAACACAUAAAACCAUUCUGCUUGUUUGCCUCAGCCACUUCGAGAAAAUCAUGCACGCCCUUAAUGUACUCGGAGGUGUGUCUGUCACCGUACAUCCAUUGCCGGUUCAUCUGCAUGCAUUAUAUAUAAUUAAGUAUGUCAAAAACCAUUACAGAACAUCAUGAAUAGAUAAUUAAGUGACCAAAUUAAUAGAAGUUCAUCAUCACAUUAAAACCAAAGUACAUACAUAGUUCUCAUCUAACAACAUAUAGCUCCCCAGAGCAUCUAAUUAAUCAAACCAUACAUUGAAACUAUGUAAAACAUUUCAAUGCGAAAACAAAUGCGAUCAUAAUCGCAACCAAGGUAACAAUUGCUCCAACGGCAUAAUGAUACCAAGCCUCGGUAUGAAUGGCAUAUUUUCUAAUAUUUCUAAUCUUCAAGCGCAUUGCAUCCAUCUUGAUCUUGUGAUCAUCGACGACAUCCGCAACAUGCAACUCCAAUAUCAUCUUCUCCUCCUCAAUUUUUUAUUUUUUCCUUCAAGAAAUUGUUUUCUUCUUCAACUAAAUUUAACCUCUCGACAAUAGGGUCGGUUGGAAUUUCCGGUUCACAUACCUCCUAGAUAAAUAAAAUCGAUGUCACGUUGGUCGGCAUAAUUUUCAUAAACAAUAAAUGAACCAAUAGUUAUAAAGAUAAUAUAUACCACAUCCGAAUCAUAGACAGGACGAGAGCCGACGGGGGCGGAUACCAAAACCAUCGCACUAUAUAAUAACAAGCAAUACAAUAGUAAGAAAAUUAGACAAGUAUCUAUCUAAAGUAAGAAUUUUUUUCUUUCAGAAAGAAGAUAAGAACAAGAGGCUCACCACGGUGGUGCCGGCGACGAGAUCGGCGCGGGCGAUCGUCGGCGGUGAAGACAGGAAUGGGACGUGACGGGACGCUAAACCUAGACAAAUCUCGAGGAAAAUGGAGCUUUGAGGUCGAGCUUUGAGAGGGGAAAGCUUAACUACUGUGGCUCGGGCAUUUCAUCGAACACCUCAUGUGCAUAGGAGGUGAGCUAGAGCACCACAAAGCCCUCCCCUCGCCGGCCAGAGAAAAACAGAGCACUGGAGUGCUCUGCUCGCGGGCGAGGGGUAUAUAUAGGCACCUCAUUGGUCCCGGUUCGUGGCAUGAACCGGGACUAAAGGGCAGCCUGUGGUCUCGGUUCAAGCCACCAACCGGGACCAAUGAUGGUGGGCCAGGAGCGAGGCCCAUUGGUCCCGGUUCGUCCCACCAACCGGGACCAAAGGGGCCAGACGAACCGGGACCAAUGCCCCCACGAGGCCCGGCAGGCCCCCGGCCUCACGAACUGGGACCAGUGCCCCCAUUGAUCCCGAUUCUGGACUGAACCGGGACUAAUGGACUGACCCGGCCUGAACCAAAGCCCUCUUUUCUACUAGUGGAGAGAGAGAGAGAGACGGAGGGAGGGAGGGAGGGGGAGAGGAGAGGAGAGAAGAGGAAGACGAUUGAUGAAAAUUGAUGGAAGAAACAAUUUCUAUCAAGCAAAAAGAGCUCAUCUCUAAGGUGGUGACUGUCAUAUCCACUACCUUAUCCCUUGUUGUCCAAAUCCUAUUUUUUAUGUAGAUGUUAGCAAAAGAUUGAUGAUGUAAGACCAUUGUGAUAUCCACAAAGGAACUUGUGUGCCCUACAAUUGAUAAUAAUGCUAGGAGAUUUGGUUAGCUACUUUCCAUUUUUCUUUACCAUGAUUUGGGGGUUAAUUUUCUGUCACUUUUUUUGUUGUUGAUGCUGCUUCAUUUCAAGGGGAAAAUUCACUUGAUAGUACAUAAGUGAUAUCAAAAUUACCAUUUCGUUUUGUUUUACUUUUCCUGCCACAAAGUAUGUGCUAAUUCCCAACAAAGUAGUAUCAUAUUAGGAUGCUAGAUAUUCAUUAGGGUUAGACCCACAUAGGCUUUAUGGAAGAAUGUAUCAUGAUGCAUCACAAUAAAGAGAUUCUUCAAAUGUUACAAACAAGAUGUAUGGAUGCAAAAAGGCUCACACAUACUACAGUACUGAUGUCAUCUUAAGAAAAUAAUUUAUUGUGUGUCCUCUUCACACACAGAAAGAAGAUGUUAAAUGUGCAUUAGCCGCACUUGGAGCAGUCAUGUACUAGCAACUUUACACACACACGCACACGCAUGGCACAUGUGAACUCCGAUUGGAUAUGGCACCUAGUAAACUCAUGCCACUAGAACCACACACACAAUGUACAUGUCAUACACCUUUUAACCCUUUCUCAACUGGCAUGUGAACCAACAUCUGAAUAUACAGGCGUGAGAGGCCGUGUGCUCUUGAUUUUUAUUUUACUUUUGGAAAACUGCCAACUUGUUCUUCCCCAUUUUUUUUCUCGUUGGGUGUUUCAUUCCAUACUCAAAAGUGCACAAGAGGAAUGGAUGUAAAGACAAGAUAAACAUGUUGAAAUUAAAGUACUAAACGCAAGGUAGACCACUAACAAAUAUCAUGAGCACCCAUGAUGAGAACUUCGCCAAAGGAACCACUCAAACCUUGCUUCUCUUAGUUGUUUUGAACCAUGGCAUGUUGAUAAAAAUAGCAUAUGCAUGUUCAUGUAUAUGUGAACAUGCCUAUACCAAGCAAAUGUACUCAAAACGUGAACUCAUAGUAUGACAUGGGCAUGCCUAACUGUACCUACUAAGUCUUGGCCCCACUAAAUACUUGAGCUUGGUCUCCUCAUCAAGACAAGCAGAUAACCACCUACCACCUUAUCUUUGCACUCAUUUGUUACCCUUGUUGACAUGCGUCGCCUUAGAACCCCUCGACCAUGGCAUGGUUCAACUGCUCUAAUGAUGCUAACUUACACAUGCAUAACUCAUUUCCUCACCUAUCUCCCUUGGAAAAAAAUUGAGUUGAUUUUCCGUUGUGACACCUUUGGCAGCACCACUCCCAUCAAUGGUACUCUACCACCUUGCAAAUAACAACUUCCCAUUGCUUCUCCUUUUGCGCCACCAAAUAGUAGAGUCACCUUCCCAGAGUAAGCAUAACUUCAAAUAUUUGACCUUGCUCUAAUAGUAAGUGUUGGCUCUAACACCAAGGAUCGAUCAUAUAAAAAUAACAUGAAUACAAACGGUCAACAUGUUUGCCAAAGGCACAUCUCAGCCUUGAUUUUUAUUCUUUAUUUCUUUUAAUAUGCAACCUCUUGGUACACAUGUCAUAUGAUGUUGAUGGUGGUGUGUACGCAUUUGGAGUAGGCAGCCAGGGAUGUUUCACCACACAUGGGUGGUGGGAUAGUCUACGAAUAGGCACGUACUCCACCCCUCACCUUAGGCAUGGUUUCGGUCGACUAUGAUUUUGUUGUUGUUCGUGUUUUUUAGUUAUAAUGUGUGUGAGUUGGUGUUGGUUGUGUGAUCCUUGUCAUGUAGAGGCAUGGCGUAUAUUCAUUAUGAUAUAUAUCCCCUUGAUGUUAUGAGUUAACAAAAGUGUCUUUUUAUCGGGAAAAUAACAUAUGUACUCGAUCUUUAAGUGUGACCUUUAAGUGUGACAUAGAUAAGCCUAACAUAACUUACUCAUACUCAAAGGCACACAUAUGGGAACUUGCCAAUGUUUGAUCUAACACUAUCACAACUUGGACAUGACGAAUGAAAACCUAAAAUUCCUAUCUAAACUCAUAGUACAAGGUCAUUUCUAACAAAAACUUUGCACGCUUGUUGCUUCCAUAUAUGGAUGAUACAUUGGCUUGCAUGUAUAGUUAGAAAAUUUAACCAUGUGCAUUGUGUGGAUGCACACUCCCUCUAUCGAGAUUUAUAAGCCCUGCGUGUAUCCCUAGAUUGUCAAUUUGGUUUAUGAAAUAUGAGUUAUAUAUCACAAAAGGUGUAUCAUUAAAUUUGUAGUCGAAAGAAAUUUCUAAUGGUAUGUCUUAUGUGAUAUAUAACUCAUAUUUCGCUGAUCAAAUUGAUGAUGUAGAGAUACAUGUGAGCCUUAUGAACCAGAAGGGAGGGGGUACUAUUUUUUUUAAUUUUGUGAAAAAGUUUGACAUGAUUUGCCAGAUUUUGUUGGAUAUCUAGCUGUUGUAACUUGUAAGAUACACCAAUUGUAAUGAUGCACAAUAUGUAUUUUAAAGAAGGUAUUUGAUUGGAAAAAUAUUGUUGGAAACAAUAAAUUUGACUCGAACACAAUAUGUGAUGGUUGCUAUGGGAAGCCGAGCCCUCUGGUCAUUAGGGAUGCAAAUUUGGAACCUUGAGGUUACCCUUCAACCCUCCAUAAUUCAACUAAAUGAACUAACUUUCAGAAUUUAUAUUAAUUAUUUUUGAAAUUUUAGUUCAUUUAAUUGAACUAAGGAGGGUCGGAGGGUACCCUAAAGGUUGGGAAUUUGCAUGCCUACUGGUCAUCAAUCUGCCUUGCAGCCCGGAGCUGUUCGACAUAGUGAUUUUCAGGGUUGGUCGGUCAGUGUACUCACCUGAUUUAGCAACAUUGUUUUGUAGUUCAGAAUCUACCGUGGCAUGUGGCUGUAAUGCCUUUUGCAUUUCCUAAUUAGGAAUUGUUGAUAAUGUUGUUUUUCAUGCUUUUUGCCUUUUUUUUGCUUGUUCGUCUUUGUUCUAGUCUGAGUGAAAAAUGUUGUAUUUCUCUAUACUAACGUGAAGAAACUGUAGAGUAUCAUUCGUCGGCUCGAAUUUUGCUGGCUUAGUAUAAGUGAUGUCAUAUUUUUAGAGUUGUGGACAUACCUGAAGAAAGUUGUGGAUCAUCUAAAACUGGUGCUAUUAUAAGAAAGUUCAUUUAUUUUAGAAAAUAUUCAUGACUUCAAAAAAAGUCUCAAAAUUCAAAGAAAAUCAUGAUUUUAAAAAUAUCCAUAAAUUUAGAAAAUAAUCGCAAAUCUUGAAAAUGUUCAUCGAUUUUAAAAAGGUAUUAACAUUUUAGAAAAAAUCACAAUUUAUAAAAUACUCAUGAUCAUUUUACAAAAAUAAGAGACUUAAAAAUUCUCAUGAAUUUUAAAAUUUAAAAUAAAAGUAGAAAAUAAAAAAUUCUAAACAAAAGCGGGCCGGCAUGAAAGUUCAAAACGAAAACGGGGGAUGCACCGGCCCAGUCUAGGCAUGGCCCUGUCGCGUUCACCCGAAACAACGUCCGCUCAGCCCUACCCAGUCGACCCGCAUAGCUUUCACGCAGGACCCGACCACAAGCAUCUAACCUGGAGACCCCUAAAAAAAGCAUCUAGCAUGGAUUGCAAGUUUGCAACUGCUAAAAUCUACCCUGGAUUGCCUAAAAAAAACAUCUAGCCUAGAAUAGUGUCUCAAAAAAAAAAAACGCAGGACCCGACCACACACACACAAAUAAUACUGCACGUAGCAGGAUGGAUAUACUACGGAUUAUGGAAGAUGCAGUUCAUGAGCGUCGUCGUCACCGUGGGCCGUUGUCGUCUUCGCCGUCGUCCUGGUGCUGGUGGUGUUGUCCUAUACUAUUCGGAAGAAAGGUCCCGAUUCGCCCUGUGUUCACAUGGCAUCCUUCCUUCCUCGCAAGUUGCGACUUGGAUAGAUAUACAUGAUUUAAUGCGCGUCGUGUUUUUCCCGGAACGUCGUCCACUCCCUCUGGUGGCUAAAUUUCAUGUUUUGACCCUUUUACGAUAGUUUAGCCGGAUUUGACCCUGGUCCGAAUUUUUUUAGAAUCUGAUCCUUUUUCUAUCGCCAUCGUGUCUGAUGGUAGGAUAUAACUACCUACCGCCAUGAGCCUUGACGGUAGGACUUAACUGCGCCAUCACGUUCAUUUAAGGUGGAAAUAACCUACCCAGAGUUUUUGGUAGUAGGUUGUGCAACCCUACCGUCAAAGAGUCUGGCGGUAGGCAUCGCAUCGUAAUAGCCUAUUGCGCUGGUCAUGCAUGUCACUAGUGGGACUAGCAUGUGGCAGAAAAGUGCACGCCAAAUUAACUAGUACUCCUAGUAGGCUCACUGUUACAUGCAUGUAGCAAGGACUAGCGUGUGGCAGAAAAGUGGGAGUAGUAUGUAGGCUAUUACUAGGCUCCAAGUUAAGUGUGAGCACGGGCUAGUAGUAGCUCCUAGUAGAGAGAUGCAUUGAUGCAUGCGCGUAUGUUGCGGAGAUAAAAGACAAGCGAGCUCACUGUUACCUGCAUGCAUGCCUGCUCCUGAUGGAUGGCCCAAAGUUUAAACGAGUGACUGCAGGAUUUAUGCAUGUGCACGUGCAGAGCCUACUGUCGUGCUCUUUGGCGGUAGGUUUGCACAGCCUACCGCCAAAGACUCUGACGGUAGGGUAUUUUUAAUGUUAAACAGAUGUGACGGCGCAAUUAAGUCUUAUCGCCGGGACCUCAGCGGUAGGCUGUUAUACCUUACCGCUGUCAAUUCCGACGUUAGGAAAAGGGUCAGAUCUUAAAAAAAAAAUCGAACCAGGGUCAGAUCCGGCUAAACUUUCACAAAAUGGUCAAAACACAAAAUUUUGCCCCCUCUGGUCAAGACUCGGGACGGAUCAUUGUUUCUACCGGGGCAGGUUUGUCUGCCUCAUGUUGGGCAGUGCCAACGUUGCCCGGGAUCGUACGCGAGAACGUAUGCGUGUGCGCACGCGUAUAUUACCUUGACAGUUGAUGAAUAGAUCGGAAGUUAUUCUCGUAAAAAAAAAGAACGUCAGUUUUUAGUCAUGAUAAAUCAAACGUUUCUUCAUGCCAAGUUGUAUUCAUCGAGGAUGACAAAUUUGGUUGGCGGGCAUGACAAAUCCGUCUCAGUUCAUUUUUGCCAAAAAAAAUGUCAUACCCGCAGACUAAAAUUGUCAUUUUUGCACCAAUAUAAAUUAUCAUGAAAAAUGUUUAAUUUGCCAUGUCCAAAAAUCUGGCGCCAGAUUUUCAGACUUUCGUUUGUGUUGGUUUCGAUGUUGAUGUGCAUCUGCGCGUCUGAUGAAGUAUGAUGCUUCAUGUUCCCAAAAAACCAAUUCAUGAAAUUCUAACUUAUGAUUGCCGAACUAUGCUAUGUCGACGUCUUACAAAAAAAUAUUCCAAAAGUAAAUCAUAAUCAUUGAAACCAAAACCAAAUAAGGCAAAUUAAACCAGGUCAUACUUACUAAUGUGUUGGAUGCAACAAAACAAAACCACUACACUUGUCACAAGGAUGGCAUAUCUCCUAUCGAGCAGCGUCUGCUAUUCUUUUCAUGAACCGUUUUCCUCCUUCCCAAGAAGAGGCUCCCAGGUGACUAGGGUUUCCCCUCCUCUAGUCGGCACUGCCACCGGUCCGCCCCGCCUCCGAUUGCCUUUGGUCCGUGGAGGUGCGGAGAACCAUAGGCUCUAGCCGUCAAGAGCGACCCCUCUCUCAUUCUUGUUUGGUUCAACGUCUUGGUUGCGGCUAUGUGGCGGCGGCGAUCUCCCCUAGUAGGGAUAAUGUCUCCCACGUUCGAUCCUUGCCCUGAUGGUGCGUAUAGCAUUGCCGGAGGGCCUGUGGUGGAGUGUCUCCGUCAGAUCUCACUUGAUUCGAUCGGUGCUGGUCCUCGAUGUACCAGUUUGGAUCCAGUAUUUGGUCAUGUGUCUACAAGUUUGAUCUUACGAUCUACGCUUCUCUUCAUUGGCGACGAAUGUUGUUCUAGUGUGUUUGUCCUAUGGGGGGCUUACCACAACGACUUCCUAUAUAAUACAACAAUGUUUGACCGGCUCUGGCGAGUGAGGGCGAUGACUGCGGCGCGCCUUUUAAGUCAUCGCUAGGUGCCACAUGGACCUAGCGGUAAUUUUUGUUAUUUCUGUUGUUCUCUGCAGUGCCAUGACAGAUGAUGGAUAGAUUGAAAGUUUCUCCUGAAUAAAUUUUGUAAUACAACCAAACGGAUCCCAAGAUGUGUGAAAGAAAAGGAGGAUCAACCAAACGCGAUUGUCAUAAUUCACAUAUGUGUUGCCGUUCACACAAAAUAUCCUAACCGAGAAACAAUGCCCUAUAAAAAUUUGGGCGGUUAGAAAACAGAUGUGCAUCAUUGCCAUUUGGCAUUUAACACUGACUGAAUAUUAGAUGUACGGAUGUAUUCCGGGGAGAGAAAACCAAAGAGCAUUGGUUGAGUGGUUAUUAGUGAGGCGUCUAUACAUCCGCGGGUAAGCAUAGCAAUAUGGCUUACCCGUGCUUGUUCACUGUACACACGCCCUCCAACCUUGCCCGUUGCAAUAAUUUAUUACGGUACGUUCCAACCAACUUAACCGGAGACGCCCCUUCCGUCCAUCUCGGCUCCCCUCUGGGCUGAGCUCAGUCCUCACUCCACGUCCGCGUCUCCUGCUGACUCCGCCUCCUUGCCCGGUUCCACGGAUCACCGUCACCCUCCUCGCAUGGCUUCUCCAAGGUACGCACGCGCGGUCGAUCAGCAGAUCUCUCUCUCCCUCUCUGUCUCCCCUAGGAUUUUCCUCGUGUCUCUGAGAUUUCUCAGGAACCAGAGGAGCUGAAUGUUUCUGAUAUUCGGUGGCCAUCGCGGUGAGCGGGAGCAGGAGCAGCAGGCACGCGCUCAAGUGGGCCCUCGACAAGUUCGUGCCCGGCGGGAGGGUCCUCUUCCGGAUCCUGAUCUUGACAGCGGCAGCAUCUAUGAACAAAUUUUAUGGUUACAGUGUCACAAGGUCACACCUGCAGAGUGCAGAGUUUUCUCCUUGAGCGUACUGCAUUAUCGUUAGGUUGAUGAAUAUGAGCUUUUCUUGUACCAAGUGAGGGCAAUUUGUGAUUAAGGGUUAUUCAUAAGGGUGUACCGGCUGUUCUUUAGUCGUUGCAAUUAUUCAGAACACUGACCUGCUCUGCUCUUCAUCCUCUGAUGACAGUGGGCAAUACAUCCCGGUCUCGCAAGUGCGCGACGACGUAACAUCGGCAUAAAGUGUGUAAUAAUAUGCAAGGUUUUUAACCGUUUCUUGUUGAAACCUUGCUGUUAGUUACACGACAACUUGGGCAUCCAGCGUGUCGAGCACGAAAUCAAGCUUCGAGAGAUUGACCUGACAGAAGAAAUGGUGAGGAGAUUGCUAAGGCGAAUGGAGAGAGAAGAAGAGGAGGUGGCCGAAAGAGAAGCUCAACCUAUACAAAGCUCUUCUGGACAGAAAGCAACAGAGGGUGAUGGUGAUCACCAAAAUGCUGGAGAGAUCAACACAGGACUGAAAAAUGCCGGACGAUGUUUAACCGAGUACAAUAGGUACUCUUGGGAGCAUAUCCAAGCGGCGACUUCAUCGUUUUCAAGUGAUCUUGUGAUUGGUAAGGGGACAUAUGGAACAGUCUACAAGGCUAAGUUUCAGCAUACAGUUGCAGCAGUGAAAGUCUUGAACUCCCUGGAAGGUUUUGGAACUUAGCAGUUACAGCAGGAGGUACUGUAUUUACUUGGAAACACAAAUAUGUUCUUCAUUAUCUGCUCAUUACACCCAGAGGUUAUUUUUUGGCAAACAAAAUUGAGAAAUUUUAAGACACUACUGAGUUAAUAUUAGCCGUUAAUUUUUGAUGAUCCAAUGACUCGUGCCUACUAUUAAUAGGUGAAAGCCUAUAAAUGACUAUAUGGGGCUAAAAAUAUGAAAUUUGCAGGCUGUUGAAAUGAGAAGGUAUAUCAUAUAUUGCCAUUAAAGCACAAUGGUAAAUAAAUAAAGAUAUAAUUUUAACUAAUGCUAUCUAGGUUUCUAUUUGGCUAGACUACACAUCAAAGCUAUGGUUCUUAUUUUCAUUUUGACUUCAAAUCUUGACUAAAAUAUUCAUCCGUGACCUUGGACGGUGAGAUCAAAUAUUUAUCUUACAUCUUAGAUGGUAAGCAGAGCAUCUUAAGACUGCUGAACAAAAUUAACUCCAACAGAAAGUGUAAAUAAAAAUCCAAAGAGGGAUGCAAGGAUUCAUCAAAUAAGUUUGGCUAAUAUCAGACACCUAUGACUAUUUUUUUUUUCAAAAAUCAAACAGCACUCAAUUCAGUAUUUACAAAUGGACUGUGACUAGAACAUUUUAAGGAAUUCAUUAAAUGAAUUUGGCAAAAACAAUGGUUUUUAAUCAAAAUCAAAGAGAAUUCCAGUUCAGCUUUUAGAAAUGGACUGUCACUGCAACAUGUAUCUUUAUUCUGAACUUUGCGUUUUGCAAGUGCUCAUCUCAUCUUAAAUCUUUGCUGCAUGCAGCUGGAGGUUCUGGGCAAGAUCCGGCACCCUCACCUGCUGCUGCUGCUGGGCGCCUGCCCGGAGCGCGGCUGCGUGGUGUACGAGUACAUGGAGAACGGCAGCCUGGACGAUGCUCUCCACCACCGCCGGAAUGGCAUGCCGCCGCUCGCCUGGUACGACCGCGUCCGGGUCGCCUGGGAGGUGGCCACCGCCGUCGCCUUCCUCCACAGCGCCAGGCCGGACCCCAUCAUCCACCGCGACCUCAAGCCGGCCAACAUCCUGCUCGACCGGAACCUCUCCAGCAAGGUCGGCGACGUCGGCCUCUCGACGGCGCUCCUCCACCACUCGGGAGCCGGAGGAGGAGGAGGCCAGCAGCAGUCCACGAUGGUGAGGAACACGACGCCCGUGGGCACAUUCUGCUACAUCGACCCGGAGUACCAGCGGACGGGCGCCGUGUCGGCCAAGUCAGACGUGUACGCGCUCGGCGUGGUAGUGCUGCAGCUGCUCACGGGGAGGACGUCGCCGCUCGGGCUCGCCCACGCCGUGGAGACCGCGCUGGAGGAAGACGGCGGUGACUCCUUCACGGAGAUGCUGGACGCAACCGCCGGAGGAGGCGCGGGAGCUGGCCGCACUUGCGCUGCGGUGCGCAGAGAUGCGGCGCAGGGACCGGCCCGGGCUGCGCGAGCACAUCCUCCCGGCGCUGGAGCGGAUCAAGGACGUCGCUGCCAGAGCCGCCAGGGAGACGAAGGCCCUUCUCCUCCGGACAGCAUCAUCGUCAGCAGCGCCGGGCCACUUCCUCUGCCCCAUUCUUCAGGAAAUCAUGGAGGACCCAUGCGUCGCCGCCGAUGGGUACACCUACGACCGGAAGGCGAUCGAGACAUGGGUGAGCAUGAAGGACAAGUCGCCGAUGACCAACCUCCGGCUGCCGAGCAAGAGCCUCAUCCCCAACCACUCGCUCCGGUCGGCCAUCAUGGACUGGAGCUCCAAGAACAGAUGAUGAUGCACACAAUGUUAGAUAGACCUUGUGCAGAAAUAGUCUCGGGAAAUAUAGCUGUUGUGUUGUGUUGUGUAGGUAUACCGAAAUGUGCAUCUGAUUCCUCAGAAAAAUAUGAAAUGUGAAUAAACAAAAAAUCACUCUUAUCAUUUACUUUUCUUUACAUUAAAAUAAAAAAAAUCCAGUAGGAAAACCUACUAUUCUCCUAAAAAUCCAUUUAUUUUCCUGAGGUGUACCGUUUGCAGACUUGUUGAGAAUUACUAUAAGAUGUUUCAGCUAUAUAUAUCGAGAUGUGCAUGUGAUUCCUCACCAUUUAGCUGCCAGCUGUCUGUACAUAUUGUGCAGAAAAAGAAGAGGCCGUACUGGCCAUGUGGAAUAACACCAGGUCCAUUCAUAUAUACAACUAGAAUUCUUUUUGGGAAAAUGCAAAAGAGUUUGCGUUUCAUUUCAUCCCAUUGUUAGAGUCCAGACCAAAAUGAAGCCUUCCCGUGCGUUUGGAUUCUGGGCCGUUGGAUUGCGUUUCCAAAACGAUCCUGGCCGUCGGAUGUUCAGGUGGAGCGAUCUGGGCCGUCGGAUAUUGAGAUGAGCGAACUGGGCCAUCGGAUCGAAGCCGAACACUGCUUAGCCAUGCCACCGCAUGUAAUUUUGGUUGCCCACCAAGGGUAUUUCCGUCAUUUCAUAUGUUAGCGUAUAAGUGCAGCAAGUCACCUCCCGCACACGCGCACCCCGCUCCAUCCUCGCCUCGCAACUCCCCUCCCGUAACCCUAGCUCCCCCUCUCCUCUGCGCCGCCACCACCACCCCCUUCUCUCCGUCACGCCCCUCCCUUCCCCUCAUGCCCCAGCCGUCGCCGCCGCUCCCCGCGCCCCCUGCACCACCGUCGCCACGCCAUCGNNNNNNNNNNNNNNNNNNNNNNNNNNNNNNNNNNNNNNNNNNNNNNNNNNNNNNNNNNNNNNNNNNNNNNNNNNNNNNNNNNNNNNNNNNNNNNNNNNNNNNNNNNNNNNNNNNNNNNNNNNNNNNNNNNNNNNNNNNNNNNNNNNNNNNNNNNNNNNNNNNNNNNNNNNNNNNNNNNNNNNNNNNNNNNNNNNNNNNNNNNNNNNNNNNNNNNNNNNNNNNNNNNNNNNNNNNNNNNNNNNNNNNNNNNNNNNNNNNNNNNNNNNNNNNNNNNNNNNNNNNNNNNNNNNNNNNNNNNNNNNNNNNNNNNNNNNNNNNNNNNNNNNNNNNNNNNNNNNNNNNNNNNNNNNNNNNNNNNNNNNNNNNNNNNNNNNNNNNNNNNNNNNNNNNNNNNNNNNNNNNNNNNNNNNNNNNNNNNNNNNNNNNNNNNNNNNNAGGAGGCUCCCGUGGCCCGCCUGCCCGGCGCCCCGGCGGCAGUCCUGCCCACCGGCGUGCAGGAGGCAGCAGGGGGAGGGCGGAGGGGCUCACCGGCUCACCGUCAAGCCACAGUGGCGGAUCUGUCCUCAAGCCACAGCCGCGGACGCCGAGGUCGUUGACGCCGGGCAGGGGAGGUCACGGGGCACGUCUCGGCCUUGUUCCCGACGCCGACAACCUCAAUCUCCAACCCUAAGGUGAAUGCCCUUCCAGACUCCCAAUAUGAAAUUCAGUCGUUGACCUGCACAUUUGUAGCUCCUGUUUGGAUUUAGAGAGAUAAGAUUCAUUUCACUCUGUGCCCGUCCUGAUCUGAUUCAUUUCAUUAGUACGGCUGGUAGCUUGGUAUGGAUUGGUCCUAGGGCCAAGUGCAAUUCUAGGGUUUUGCUGCACCACAUUUGAGUGCCUGUAAAUUUCGGUUUGUGUGCUCUCAUUUCAAUCCGCGAUAGGUUUCAGUUUGGUGUUUGUGUUUGUGGCUGAAGCUGUUUGUCACUAUUCAGCAGAUUUUGCCUAGCUGGCGCCUGGUAACAUGACACCAACGGUCCUCAUGGAGUAUAGGCCGCAGAUGCAGAUUAAACGGAGCUACGUUGAAAUAGCUUACCGGGGCAUGGGGUAUGCAGAGACUGUAGGUGGGUCGGGCAGCCCUGUUCGUGUUGACUCUGAAGAUUCAUCUGCGCCAAAAUGCAAGUGCAUCAGCCUUAAUAGCGAUGGCUUUGAUGUGAAGCAAGAGAUCUUUGUCCCGUCUAAGUUGUCGUCGUCUGAGCGGCGCUACCUUCGAAAGAGAUUCCGGGCAGAGCUUGGUUCUGUCAUGUAUCUCCUCAAGAGGCCAGAGUUUUUUUCCAUCAUGCCUGUCAGCCGAGCACCAUCCGACGCUUGACUGUAUAUUAUCAUGCUUAUCAAGUUCUUUCCUUAUGUCAAUUUUACAGAUAAAUUCAUUUGUGUCAAGUAUCGCUUUUUUCCAUAUGAACAUGACAAGUUGUCAUAUAUUGGCUUGUCAAAUCUAUCGGGUGCCAAGUUCACUUGAAAUAUUCUUAAUUCUGUUUCUUCUGAUUUUGGUGUUGGUGUAUGUAUUGUUAGUGAAAAUAUGCUCACAGUUUUUUUUUUUGAACUAUGUGUAUACCAUUAACUGAUGUCAUUAUGUUUUCCAGGGGUAUAUGGACCAGAAAUGAUGUGAUAUACUUGGUUAUUUGAACAUGAAGGUCAACCAUGGGGAGGCGCGACAUGGCGUGGCCUCAGCCCAUUAGGUGUCCUCUCUUUUUGCCUAUUGUUUCCUCUGGAACUCUGAUUUUGUUUGGCUUAUGAAGGCACAUUCAUCCUGCAAGUACAAUCAUGAUUAAGAUUUAGAACGCCCUGCACGCCGGUUUACUUUCUUUCGUACAUUGAUUGCUAUUUUUUAUGCCUUAUAUCCUACGCCUCAUCACACAAUAGUUUGGUAAAGAAAGAGUGAACCCACUCAUGAAUUUGCACUAAUUAUAUAUUUAUGUCACUAUUAAUAAUUUGUAUUUACUUUAUCUGCUCUCGUGAGUUCGUCGAGUUCCUUUCUCAAUGUGCUUAGAUGCUUGUGCAACAGCAGAAGUAAUUGUUGAUUGGCUUAGCCUUUGUGUCGGUUUCAUAUGUAUAUAUGUCAUUGGCCUAGCUAACAUCACGUGUCAGUAAUUUGUGCUUUCUUUCUUUGGGAUAAUUAUGCCUAGCUGGAAACAGAGAGGAGUCAGGUAGCCUGCUACUGUUCCUUUUGUUUGCUACUGUUCCUUUUGUUUUCUAAAGUGUCCCUUCAAUUAAUCCAGUAACCUGACAUUACUUUGUGUUUAACUAAUAUCAUUCUUAUCACAGUGAGUAUUAUAUUAUUCAGUUAGCCUCCUUUUCGUCGAAGAGGCGUGAAAGUGUAGAGGGUAGAAAUGGUAAUUGAAUGGGUGUUCUCUUUUUACGCAAGCAUUCUCCUCCUUAUCUUGCUAUUUAUGCAUCUCCGUAUUUCAUUGGUAUUCUUCCGAUUUGCAGUGAUUAUAGGAAGCGCAUACAUGGGUGAGUUGAAAUUGUUCUACUGAUUCCUCGAUGCUCUGUUCAUGGCUUUGUUCUUAUUUUAUCCUUCUUUCUUUUCUUUGUUCUUUCCUACAAGAAGAUGCCGAGUCGUGCAAUAUGUUCAAAGAAGAGAGAAUCUGCAUUUUAUGAAUGUUUUCUUCUUUCUUCAUUGUUACCUCGAGUUAGUGAAUUCAGUUAAGUUGUACUGAGCAGCUAAUGCACAUCUUAUUCAGUCACGAGGCCAUUAAGAUCUUUUUGACUUUUACUAAAAGGGAGAUGCCAUUUAGACCUUGCCCUGUCCAACUUGAUCUUUAACUUGCUACUACUGUUUGUAAGCAUUUUCCCAAGCACUGUUUUAUUUGCUUCAGUGAAUCAGGUCACCUUAUUCAGUGGAUGUUCCAAGUAAAAAAAUUAGAAACUGAGCAAUUAGUUCCACUCUUGAAUUUUGUACAACAGUCCAAAUUAUCCAAUAAAUCAUUUGUUAGCAGGGUCUACUUAUAGAAGUUGAAUCAGUUGUUCCAAAUUACCAGUCGAAUGCUGUACAACACAGUGAACUGUUCCAUUCUUAGACGUUGAGCUGAAAUUUCCUUAAUCUGGUUUCUCAUCGUCGGCUGCCCCUCGAGCUAAAAAUGUUCAACGGGGGAGCCAUGUUCUCCGUGGUGCCAAGGGACGCUUCUUGCCGACAAAACCCUGGCCCGAAAUAUCUACAGUGUUGCCUGAAGCUACAAUUCUGAAGCAGUGCGAAGCUAUUCUGAAGAAGCUGAAAUUUAGUCAUAUUUUUAAUGUUCCAGUAGAUGUGGAAAGGCUGAAUAUUCCAGAUUAUAAUGAAAUUAUCAAGCACCUGAUGGACCUUGGGACCAUCAAGAAGAAGCUAGAUUCUGGUUCCUACCAAAGUUUUGGAUUUCGUCCGAGAAAACCAAAAUUCCAGCGAUUUUCGUCCAUCUCGUUACCGGCCCAAAAAAUUCGGCCACUUUUAAACUCACAGCCCAGCCCAUGGUCUACUACAGCCCACACAAACCCCCCUGUGGUAUAAAAGCAUGAAUUCUGUGGAGCAAGGUUCAGGGCUGGAUUGAAAGCACCAUCUCCUCAGCGGGAAAGGAAGUGUUGGUAAAAUCUGUGGCACAAGGAGUACCGGUCUUUUCUAUGUCUUGCUUCAAGCUUCCAAGAGGUUUAUGUGAACAUCUGAACAUGCUUAUUAGGAAAUUCUGAUGGGGUAGUAAGGAAGGAAAACGGAAGCCUCAUUGGGUCUCCUGGAAAACUAUGACGCAGCCCAAGGGCAUGGGGGGUCUGGGGUUCAAAGAUUUUGAACUCUUCAACUUAUCAAUGUUGGCGAAACAAGCCUGGAGGCUGCUACAGAAUCCAGAAACCUUGAGUGCUCGUAUCUUGAAAGGCGUAUACUACCCAAACUCGGAUAUACUGGGCGCGGAACUAGGAAGCCAUCCCAGCCAAGUUUGGCGUGCCAUCAUCGAGGGCAGGGAUACACUACGGCAGGGAUUAAUCAGACGGAUUGGGAACGGAGAAACAACACACAUAUGGGGUCAGAACUGGCUGCCCCGAGAGGGGAUGUUUCGUCCCCUUGGAAGUAUCGCCCCCAAUCCCCCCAAUCGGGUGUCCGAGCUCAUCAUUGCCGCAACCGCAUCUUGGAACAGGCAACUUGUCCAACAACAUUUUAUGCCAAUAGAUGCACAAGUUGUACUAGCAAUUCCUUUGUGCACAAGAAACGUAAGUGACUUUUGGGCUUGGUACUAUGAGAAAAAUGGAGCUUUUACUGUAAAGUCGGCGUACAAGAUGCUUGUUGCCACUAAACAAAGAAGGGAGGCGUGGUUAGAAGGGUCUGCGGGAACUUCAAACUCCAUUGCAGAGGAGGGAUCAUGGAAGAGAUUAUGGAAGACGGAGGUGCCGGGGAAAAUUCGCAUGUUCUUAUGGAGACUGUCGAAGCACUCCCUCCCAACAAACGAUGUCAGGGCAAACCGACACAUGGCUACCUCUGACCAGUGCGGGCUUUGCGGUAACCGGGAUUCAUGGCGUCACUCCUUGCUAGAGUGCUCAUCAUCAAGGAGCGUUUGGGCGCUCAUUGAUGAGGAUGUCACACAUAAAAUCAUAGGGAGCACGGAGCCAAGUGCGAGGCAGUGGCUGUUCACUCUCAUGCAAAUGUUAUCACAUGAUCAGUUCAUCCUUGCAGCAGUUACACUAUGGUCCAUCUGGCAUGCCCGACGCAAAGCUAUUCAUGAAGCCAUAUUUCAGAGCCCCCAAUCUACCUUUGACUUUAUUGGACGUUUCUUGGCAGAACUAGAUACUAUAAAGACGAUGGAACGAGGUCAGGUCGCUGCACCAGCGGCUGCCGCACCCAUUCAACGACGGCCGAAGAAACCUCCUGCUGGGUGGUGCAAGAUUCAUGUGGACGCCGGGGUUAUGGAAAGAAGAGGAGGAUCUGCGGCAGCAGUUUGUAGAGAUUCGGCCGGAAACUACAUGGGCAGCUCGGCCCUAGUGGUCGAGGGAGUGGAAGACGCGGCGACACUUGAAGCUCUUGCUUGUCGGGAGGCGUUAUCCCUUGCAGAAGAUAUGGGUAUCCAGAACUUUGUUAUUGCCUCGGACUGCCAGCAAGUCGUCUCAGAUAUCAAUAGGAGGUCACACGGUACGUAUGGAGCAAUUAUCGCGGAAAUAAACCUUAGAGGUUCUUCCUUUCACUGUAUUUUUUCUUUUGAGAGUCGUGCUGUGAAUUAUGAAGCACAUAGUUUAGCCAAGUUUUCUCUUUUGAGAGGUCCGGGACGCCACGUCUGGUUUGGCGCUCCUCAUGACCAGAGAUGUAUCCCACUCCAUGUGGACUUUACGGAAUAAACUUGGUUUUUCCCCUCAAAAAAAAAAAUCUCCUCCUAACCCUAAAAUUCACUUUUCCCGUCUCCAUCCGACUGAGCGGCGGCUGUGGGCAACGGAACCCUAGCGAGUGAGGCGGGGGCGCGGUGCAGCGCCGCCUCCUCCCAUCCACCUCGUCUCCCUCCCUCCCAAUCUCCUCCCUCGUCUCCUUCCCUCCCAAUCUCCUCCCUCCCAGUCUCUUUCCCGUCCAUGGACGGUGGUGGCAGCGCCAUGGAGCACGGCCCAUCAAUAAUUUCCCAUUUAUGCACUUUCUUAUAUUCUGUCAUAAACAUGUGAUGUUUGCUUUAGUCCAUAUGAUUUUCAAUGUUGUUUCAAUUGGGGUUGCCAUCUAUUAAUUGUUGUUUCUGCCAUCUACUUGAUGUUUAUAUAAUUCACAAUGCUUUAGUCCAUAUGAUUCUAUAUGGUGUUUCAAUUGGGGCUGCCAUCUAUGAGUUGUUGCUGCCAUCUACUUGUAAUGUUUAUAUAAUUCACAAUGCUUUAGUCCAUCUGAAUUUAUAUGUUGUUUUAAUUUGGGCUGUCAUCUAUGAGUUGUUUCUGCCAUCUACUUGUAAUAUGUAUAUAAUUCACAUUGUUUCUGCCCAUAUGAUUUUAUAUGUUGUUCCAAUUGCGGCUGCCAUCAUUGAGUUGUUGUUUCUGCCAUCUAUGUUUAUAUAAUUCACAAUGCUUUAAUUGCAAGGUUAAGCGGCAUGGGAGCAAAAGAGCUUUUGGUUUGAUGAAGACUAACGGGUGGAUGAACAGGAAGUCCGAAGUGAAGGUCUCUGUUCGAUUCAAUACUUUUGGUGCAAGACUGAAGAGUUGAAGAACAGGAAGUCUGAAUUGAACUUUCUGUUUGUAUUUUGGGGUCGGCAUAAUUGAACUUUGAAUGCCGUGUUAAAUUCAUCAUGGACUGUAAUUCUGAACCGUUAUGGGUGUUCGUUUCGACUCUUGGUAGAACUAUUAAGUCGCAUGUUACUCUUAGUAUCUGAACUAUUAAGUCACAUGUUAAUCUGGACUAUCAUGUUGCUUUUCUAAUGGUUGCUGCUCUCUGAAUCGAUCCACUAUGCUAUUGUCUGAAUGGUUGCAACUGGAGUGUUGAUGUUCAGUCUGAUACAUAGUGAUUUGAUGAAUAGAUUCAGCUGUUUGAUUUUUACAUGCAUAUUUUGCUAAAAGUUUUGAAUACUCAUUUGUUGUUCUGUU